rnacentral:lncRNA from 1 species
ACCACCUCCUGCUCGGUCUCGCCCAGGAACCGCCUCACGUCGUCGAGCACGACAUCGACGGGGUACGUGGCCAGGAUGCCGUGGCAGACGCGGCGCUCCUCCUGGACGCGCACGUCGAUGACGCGCGUGCCCAUGGACAGCUGCUCGUACACGGACAUGGACUGGCACCGCGCGAAGGGGCGGGUCACCAGCGGGACGCCGAUCUUGUUGGUGGCCGAGUCGUGGGUGCCCGGCCACACCACCUGGUGCACGCGCACCCUGUCGGCGCCCAGCUCCGCCAUCCACUUCUUCCGGUCCGCCGGCCGGUGGUCGGAGCCCGGGAACGUGUCGCCGGACGACGACAGGCGCGUGGCCAGCGCCUGCUUCUCGGUGGUGACCAGCUUCCGCCGGUCGACCUGCUUCGCGAAGAAGGCGCCCAUGGCUUCCAGCGGGUUGGUGCCGUUCUUGCCAGAGCUAUUGGAGGCGGCCAUUAUAAAUAUAGGAUCCUCGCCUCGAGCUCUGACCUGGACGACGACGUCGCUGUAAGCUGGGGAUCGAUUGAUUGAUAGCAAGACAAACAAGGAAGAAUAUAUCAGCGCGCGGGGUUAGCCAGCCAACAUGUGCCGAUGGUUGAUCUGUAGGGGCUUUGGCCUUGGCUGAUCGAUCCGGAUCGGAGGAGGAACGGGGAAGCGAGGCGUGGUGUUCUUGCGAGCUCCGCAGCUGUUUCCUCAAAGAUUUCGGUUUCGUUGGAUGGUCCGAUUGGCGUUAGGUGAGGCUAUGCUGCUGCCUGCUGGGAACCGAUGGCAGGCCGGCCGAGAUUUUUUUUUUUGUUUUGGCUUGCAAGUUACAAGAAGAGAUGGGGGUUUGGUUCGCUGCUCACUCGUUCGGACCAUGGAGUGCUUGUGUUUUUUAUGGCGAGACAGUGACCAGAUCGGGGGCCACAAGGACAGGGACAGGCGCAUCAUGGACGGACGGACACGCCGUGUUAUUGGCGGCCUGGCGGUUGCUGGAAUAAUUUGUCGGGCAAAUGCGGGAAACUUUUGUGGACGCGGAUGGAAAAGUCACCCAUCAGGCCGGGGUUGUACAAUGGCCUAUGCCCAUGUGAUCUAUCGGCAGACAUGCUUGGAUAGUUGGAUACUGGAUACGCCGCACCUUGUCAGUAACGCGAGAGCCUCAUCUCGACGCGCAUGCAGAUUUAGCACAUGAUUCGUUUGCAUAAAUAGCACAGACGGAUUUUUUUUCUCUCAAAACAAAUGGUAGACACACAGACGGCCAGUAUUGGGAAUAACGCUUAAACGCUGCCUGUAGGCGACGGGAGCCUUUGAAUGCGAGACGCCAAACAUCACGAUGCCAAUCAAACUGGCACUAGUUGCCACGUUAGGCGCACGAUCCUUGUCCAGCCUGGGCCACGGGUGCACGGCACGUGUUUCGUUUAGAGCAACACGAUGUGUUGUGUCGCGAAGCAAAAAUUUAGCCAACUCCCUCAAUUAGUAGUGGAGAUUCGGGCCUUGCUCAAAUUUUGCGCACCAUCUCUUGGUUUGAUCUCAAAAUUUGGCCUUGCUCAGACUAUUUGCAAAGCUAAAACGGAGUGGAAAUUGGAGCGAGCAAGAGAUCCUCCCAUCUUUCAGAGGCGAUUCAGUUUCUGGUAGAUGAGGCGUAAACCAUACGAGGCUCAUCAUUCUUAUUCCAUGAACAGUUUUUUAAGCCCACCACACCAUAGAAUACCAAAAAGGAUCAAAACUAAUACUGAGUGGAGUAGCUUUCAAGUCAGCCGGAGCUCAGCUUCCUGCUUCCAAUCAUUUGACUAGCACGGGUUCGAAUCACAGCUUGUGCUCCGCGUUCAACUGCUUCCAACGAGAUACACAUUGGACGUACACAACAACACAUCCCUCCGUCAAUCAUGCAACGGUAGUUGGUUACUCGGACUUCCACGUGGACUUGCACUAUUUCGAGCAAUCAAGCUCAUCAUGCCUUCCACGUGGACGCGGGCUCAGGCGCUCGGCAAAGAACUUUCAGAACAAUGCGGAGAUCAAUGAGGGGAACAGUUUCUUGCCCAGUCCUAAAUCCAGGUCAAUGUAGGUGCGAGGCCAGAUAACACAGAGACAAACACAGAGACACAAGGGAAAUCUCUUGGCUCCGACCCAAUUCUCCAGUUACUUUGGCUGUGUUAUUUUACCUGACAUUCUAUCCGACCGAAAAAAAAGCUAUAUCAAGGACAGUGUCAAUUCUCCAGUAGAGCUGAAUUCUCUGCAAAUGGUUGUUGGAAUAGGCUAGGACAGUGUCAACUGUUUUGUAAUAUAUGCCAUAUCCCAUUUUGAAAAGGGAAGAAAUAAAACCAAUCAUGGAAUGAAUGACACCUGGUGGAAAUGAAUAAAUAGUUCUCUUCUUAUAAGUAUUGGAAAGAGAACUUACCAGUCGCUCUCCCUGCGCAACUGGCACUUUAUUUCUUGAGAGAGAUGAGCAGCAACACAAUAAACUACUAGCGUGAUUUAUAGUCUUAUAAUGCCCACAGUGGCUGCCAUACGAAACAUGGCUACAGGAUAAACUUCUGUUGAUUUCGUCAGAUUUCUCCACUAGUAGUCAUUUGUCUAUUAGGAAUUUGCAUAAGCUGGUCGUGAAGAUAAGCUAACCAACCAGGAGGGUAAAAAAUGAAGAGAAUGCUGAGAUGCUAUUUGAUUGUUAGCCAACCAAUGGAAGGCCACAUUUUGUUAGUGUUACAAGUUUACAACAACCAACUAAAUACAGUGUUAAAAUAUAUACCUGCCUAGGGGAAAAUUAUUGCUGAUUAAAAGAAUAGCUCCUCCCCACAAGCAUAUCACAGCAUCAUCAGCAUGUUAGGACAAAGUGAUGGACCAGACUUACAGGAAGCAGAAUGUCCUGGACUCCUGGUUAAAAUUCACAGUUAGCAGUUUGCACAAAUCUACAUUAAAUUGUCCAAGUCUGACAAAAGCACACGGUGCGAGUAAAUUCUUUCACCUGAAAGGGGGAACCGUCACAAGCGCUUCUCUUUAGAUUUUACAGGUGCCCACUGAAAGUGGCCACAAUUUGCUUCUUUAUUUGAUGCAGGUCCCUUGACAAAACACAACAAGUGAUGGCCACAGUAAGAUAAUAAUGCGUUACAUUCUGUAAAACGACAUUUAACAUUGUUCGCAGCCUAUUUGAUUGUUCAACUGAUGUCAUGAUGUCCACUGAGCAGUAAAAUGUGAAUAUAUAUGAGCAGUAAAAUGUGAAUAUAUAUGUACCUGAGCACGAGGACAGACAUAGAAUAAGCGGCCUAUAUUAGGGCCCUUCUUCACAGACCUUGGAAUACAUGGUUCACGAUGUCCUUUGCAACGUGGCAGUGUCAUCUUCAUCUUUUGUUGUAUUCUUUGCCACUCUAAUGCUGCAGCAUUAGACUUGUCUGUUGAAAUUGAACAGGAUGGUAUAUUUGUGUUAUCCUGAUCUUCCGCAGCUGAAGUUGUACACUGCAUGUUUUCUGGCAGACUAUCAUCAUUUGGAACACAUGUUUGAUUGGUAUGGUGUACUGUUUCCACUGGAGUAACUAAGGUACUGAUGCUGACAUUUACUGUCUUUGGCCCUGGUUGUUGAAAAAAUGACUUGAUUGUUGGUUGAGAGGAUAAAUUGCGUUUAAGCUUCUUGUUUGGCACAGACUUGGUGCCAGACGGUGAAGUUUUCUGGCUGUUAUAGGAGACGCCACUUAAUCCUUCAUUUCUCCAUUGAUCAGGAUUUGUCCCCUUACACAUCAAACUAGGAAGGUUACCACCUUUUGUAAGAUCAGUUAUACCAGCUGCCAGUCCUUCCUUAACUAUAGCUUUCUUUUCCAAGCCAUCACUAUAGUAGCUACCAUUUACUGUAUUCUCAGACAGAACCAAAUUUCCAUCAUCUUGCAGCUCAUAAGUUUUCCCCUUAUUGAAGAAUGAUACUGCAAAUUGUGACGACACAAGUGGUCAGUAUUAUGCACAAUAUACUUUAACUAGCACUCCUUCAUGCAAAGUGCACCUAAGUGUAACAUAGGGUUAGGUGGUAUAUACGACCAGAGCACUUGCCUUACCAAGUUACAAUCUAUGCUGAACUGAAUAUUCAAAUAACAGCCUACAACACUAACUGUAAUGCACAGCAAAAUACGCUAUAGGGGUUUACUUUCUGAAAAGAGACAACCAAAGUGCCAACACAUAUUAGGAGUUCAGAAAUCGACAAUGAACAUCAGGAAAAUGUGAAAGAUGAUUUGCAAAUAUCAGUGUUUUAUUGACAUAAUUAAUGUAUCUGUAAGAAAGCCAAAGUCCUGAAGCAAGUUAUGGUUUCCUUUACAUGAAAGUGAUGAAGGGAGGUUGCUUUAACCAAAUUUUCUAUGAAAAGAAAUAUACAUAGCCUAAGAUGCAUGCAAAUUAUUAAAACAAGAUAAAAAGAAUAUUCACAGAUACGUUAUGUGACACAGAACAGUUUCAUGAACACUGACUUCAGCUACUUUAGCACAACAAACACUACAUACAACCUGGUUUUAGUACAUCCACUGAAAGGUGCAAAAGCAAGUUACAAUAAAAAUCUUACAGAGCACUAAAUUCACUCACCAAUACUCUGCUGUCGUCCACGGACCUCUGGAAGAUAUCUUGCAGCUGAUGGUGGGAUAUUAUGAACUGGAAGUUCAGGAAUUUCUUUCAGUAAAAUAUAAACUGGAAUAUGAUCGGAUCCUUCUAGCUUACUACUUCUCCCCCCUUUCCACCUGUAGACAAUGGAUAGAGUAAAUUAUUCCAAUGUAACACCGCAAAUCAUGUAUAUUAUCCACUUUUCUCAGAGAAGAAUUGAUUUCCACUAUUCUUUACUUUGACAAACUUUCAGAAUUCCCUCUUUUGAAAUGAUUCAUUAUCUCACAUUCUUCUACAUGGCAACAAAAAAUGCUAUGAUCCUCCACAGCAUUGCAAUGAUGGAGACAGGCGCCGGAAAUGAGAAUGUGGUCUAUUCUAGAACCGUAAUUAUACUCUUCAGCACCAAUUUUUUGAUUAAAACAAGUAUAUGCUCCUGUCCUGCAUAAACGAAAAGCAGCAAAGUUAGAACAGCGAAGUACAGGUAACAUUGUAAUUUUGUGGGAGGAAUCUACCACAGGUUUAUAAGUCAACCAUGGAGAAGGAAAAUAGAGUAAACUCAAACCUCAUUGUUGCAAAGAGGAAUCCAAUUUGUUCAGUGUAAUGGUGUCAGUUUUCAGCAAAAAUAGAAAAAAAAUCACCCCCCGGGAGAGACGUCCCAUGGGCUGAAUAUGAGCAACUAGUAAUAACAAAUCAAGAGCACAAGUGGUUGCAGUAGCUCCGUAGCACGUUUCAUAAACAUGAAUGAAUGAAUGGUUUCCAGUACCUUUCAGGGUGUUUCGAUCUAAAAGCAUCCAAAAAGGGACCUCCAUGUUCUCUCAGCAUGGAUCUCAGCCAUUCUCGGAACCUUAAUUAGGAAAAGGAUGAUAAAACAGUAUUUUUAUCCCCAAAUGCUUCUUAAAUGGAACCUAGCAGAAAUCACUAAAAUUAAGUAAAAAAGGCUUACAUUUGCUUCUCAAAACCAGGCAGCGCAUCACACCUAUCUAUUGAAGCAGGAGCAAUAUUCAAAUCACCAACAACAAAGACUCUCUUUCCAAGUGCCAGCAGAUAUUCCCAUCGUUUCUAAGAGGCAUCGAAAAAAUAAGCAAGUAUAAGAAGCAUACCAUAGACAAAGUAAUAAACAUAUGAGAAACAAAAGUAUUGUUGAAAUAUUCCAUACUUAUUAAAAGAGAUGCACACAAAGUACCUGCAGUAUCUUAUAAAAUAGUAGCUUAAAACGAACCCGCUCUUUAUCAUCUUCUUCGACAGCUGGGCCAUAUAUGUUGAAAAGAACUACACAGAUGGCGCAACACUAUCAUUACAUACGGAGAAGAAAUUGUCUAUGCAACAAAAUAAAACUGAAAUAACAGUGUGGCAAUUACGUUGUGUUCCUUUCAGGACAACAAUCUACUUACCAAAAUGUCCGUGAUCGGUGAUGAUGCACCGCCCCUCAUUGUCUACCCUUAGCAGGUCUUCUCUUGUGAUUUCACCAAGGCCCUCCUCCGCUACAGGAGUUGCAAUAACAAAAUCCCCCAAAAUUUCGCUGUUUCUUGCAUAGUCGUGAAGUCCAGUAAAGCCUUCUUCAGCUGCUACUGGCAAAGCAACCUCCUGGCUGGAAAAUGCUGAUGUUACUCGGCAAAAUGUUGCAACACCUACAAAGGAGCCAAGUUUGGUAAUUAACUGAUUGAGGACAUGAUAUGAUGAAAGCCACAUUGAACCAAUAGAACAUCUCCAACUAGAAAAUUAAAUAUGCAUCAGCAGGGUGCAAACUAACCUAGUUGGGUGAUUCUAAAUAACGAUAAUGGCACCAUAACACAAUACCAGAGUAUGCUCCACGCCCUUUAGCAGAGCGAUUGCACGAAACAAAAGCCUCGUAUCCUUCAGCCAUUAUGACAUCUGCAGACAGGUCCUGCCUCGACAAUUUGGUCUCCUACAUACAACGCAGAAGGCAUUGAUACAGUUUGGCAAAUGAAUCACAAACCAACCCCCAUUUCACCCAGUUUUACUAUUUGCAUUUGACUGAACAAACGAUCCAAUAACAUCCCACCACAGAACCGACAAUUUGAUCAGCAUUAAACGAGAUACACUAAUUUUUUUCUGAAAUCAAGUGGUAAUCGCAAUAAACUUCACACUUGCUCAUUUGCACUCUGUGUAAUAUGCAGUGCAAUAUCGGCCUUCACCUUCAGUGGGGGUCGAACAGUAAGUGAUAAGCACAGGCAGGUAGGAGCUACUGAGCUAGGGUUUCGAAACAUGGCUGGCUCAGUUCGGCGAGUGGGGAAUCGGCAAUCGGCCUGACCUGGAAGCAGAUGAUGUCGGCGUCGAGGGCGUCGAGGAGGCGGCGGAGCGAGCCGUGCUGCGCCACCCGCGGCCGCAGCCCGUUCACGUUGUACGUCACUAUCUUCACCAUCUCCCGCCGCUACGCGGAGGCACGAGAGGGAAACGCUUCGCUCUUCUCGGUAGCGGGUGCGGGGACGAAGAGGCCGACGGCCGGUGCCGCCGCGCCGGUGGCGACGGAGAUUGGGGACUGUGUGUGUGCCCGGGUGAAGAGUCCGCGGUCCCGACACGACCCGGCGGCGGCAGGCGAUCAGGUGCGGCUCGGGCCCUCGCGACUGACGGCAGCCGUCCGAUGGGAGUGGCAAGGCUGAGAUCUAAAGUUUAGGAUGGUGUAUCCAAAUACUUCGUACUAAAGUUCAGAACCUGCCACAUUGGAUAUUUGAUACUAAUUAUAAAUAUUAAACAUAGACAAAUUAUAAAACUAAUUGCACGGAUGGAUUCUAAUUUGCGAGACGAAUCUAUUAAGCCUAAUUUGCUAAUGAUGGAUUAAUUAGGCUUAAUAGAUUCGUCUCGCGAAUUAGUAUAGGGGUUCUGCAGUUAGUUUUAUAAUUAGCUCAUGUUUAAUCCUCCUAAUUAGCAUCUGAACAUCCGAUGUGAGAGCAACUCUAAGAGUUUCCCAAAAAAUUCUUUCCUAAAACUAUAUAUUGGGGGCUCUUCCAUAAAUUUUCCAAAAAAACAUAUCAACCGACAGUAAAUCGUUAAUAAUUAGUCCUCAAUAUUUCAAAACAGGCCACGUUAUUAUAAUUAGACCUAACGCGGCACCUCCCUGCUCUCUCCCCGUCUCAUUCUUUCUUUUUCUUCCUCCAACCGAAGAAGAACCGAAACAGAGUGCGGCCGUGAGCUUCCCCAAUCACGGAGCGGAGCAGAGGACAAAGACCACCCCGGCAACCUCAUCGUCAACGUCGUCAAUCACCUGCACGGGCCCUUCCUCCUCACCUGGAACGGCAUCAAGCAGCGCAAGAACAUCGUGGCUCGCUAUUUGCAAGGCGAGGGCAUGGAAGCCAUGGACGGGCUUCCGUGCAGGGAUGGACGACUUCUUGUCUCGCUUCGCCGUGACUGACGAGCACGGUGACAAGAGCAUACGGCCGCGAUGGCGCGACGCGGACACCAGCUUCCUCCUCGCCACGUGCGAACGCCACACGACGCCGUCGGCGCCCUUACGUGGUUUGUCUGGUGAGUCUCCACCGAGCCCGGCCGGCGGGGAGGAUGAGGUCGUGCGCUAGAUCGGCGUCACGUCGCUCUCGCGCCGCCGCGUUGUGGAACUCUUGCUUUUCGCUCGCUGGUUGCAGCACACUGUGGUCAUGGCCACCGGCUGUCGCACGAUGCAUGCAGGCCGGCGUCUGAUGAGGCCACAUGCACCGUGCCCGGACACUCUCGGCUUUUACCGGCGAAACUAUGACCACAGUGCAUCCACGUAGGUAGGCUACCUCGCCCGACGUCGUGGCGGCCGCGACCACAGCACGUCCCUUCCAGAUGACGCGCUGCAGGAAAUUUCGGGAUUGGGGAAGAAUCGACCCCCCGCGUAUAUGCGGGGCGACGGAGAGGUAAAUUUUGUUUGUUUUUCCUCUAAAUAAGGCCGAGUUUAACGAGCACCGGUAACGAGCGGUUGCUGUACAUGCGGGCGAAAGCGACGGGUGCGCAGUACGCCUACGGCGCACUAGUGCCUGCCGCACUGGCGUCGCCGGCCGCCUCGCCGGUCGCACCUCUCGCCGUCGCGGGUCACUGCCAGCGACUCGGCUGGCUGUGUGCCAUUUCUACCACGGCAGAGGUAGCUCGUGCUCGCAGUUGCAGGUAGGCGCCGGAGAACCGAUCAAUUGCUGCGCUGGUCGCGCUCGCGCUCGGUCGUUGGCAACUUGACACGCGCAGCCUUGGACGGAGCAACCCCGUCCUGUCGUCCUCGGCUCCUCGCAUCAUGGAUAAGAAAUCAAGAAUCCAUUCCCUUCGCUUGCACUGACCAGGCCGGCAUGGCAUGCGCUUCACUUCCCACUCAUCCGUUCCCCUCCGGAGAAAAAGAAAGAAAGAAACGCGCUUGACAGCGCAACGCCGGGACUUGUUUAACAGCCGGUGAGCGAUCGCGGAUCUGCUCGCCGCUGUCCUCGCAACGAUCGUUGGUCCGCACGGAGAAAACCAGUAGCAUUAACAACUGUUUCCGCACAUGCUGCGAUAAGCAGCAGUAGGGUUGUAGCCCGUAGCCGUAAUGCCGUGUGGGAUCUGAAACAUGGACAGAGAUUAUUUUUUUUUACAAUUCACGGGUAAACUUAGCCUAUACUAGUAGUAGUGUACAGCAUCAUGUGGGAGACGUGAGACUUUCUUUGUUUGUUUACAUGCUGGAGUUCGUUCUGUUUGGCCACGUCCGCCGGCGACUUUUUUCAGUUUUCUCCGGCCUCCUGUCGCCGUCGCCGUCCUUCUCUGUGCGGUACUACGCUCGUUUGGUGCUCUGGGCACGCCGCUUGCAUCGUCUUCCUUCUUGCGCUGCGCCCCACAAUGAAAAAGGUUGCGGUGGCUGGCGGACAGCGACGCUGCUCGUCCGGAGCUUUGUUCGGCCGUUGGUACGUGCCAAGCCGAAGAAGUGGCGUUGUCCAUCCCAUCCGUCCGGACAUGGGCCUUUUCCGUCUGAAAUCGAGGAUCGGGAUUGUGGUGGUGAUGUCGACUUCGGGAUUAAAGAACGGCUAUGCGCUCCUCCGUUUCCACUUGGCUGGCUCACACUCCACUCCACUCCCUCUCUGUAGGAAGGGGGUGUUUGGAUACGAGGUGUUAAACUUUAACAGUGUCACAUCGGAUGUUCGGAUGCUAAUUAGGAGAACUAAAUAUGAGCUAAUUAUAAAACUAAUUGCAGAACCCUGUGCUAAUCCGCGAGACGAAUCUAUUAAGCCUAAUUAAUCCAUCAUUAGCAAUUGGUUACUGUAGCACCACAUUGUCAAAUCAUGGACUAAUUAGGCUUAAUAGAUUCGUCUCGUGAAUUACACUUCAUCUGUGCAAUUAGUUUUGUAAUUAGCCUAUAUUUAAUACUCCUAAUUAGCAUCCAAACAUCCGAUGUGACAGGUGUUAAAUUUUAACACUUGGUUGCCAAACAGGCCCGAAAUGGUUUAGGAGAGUGUGCGGUUAAUCAAUCACAAGUUCGGCAUAUAGUUAGUUAUCUUUGAAUGCAUUUAGAUCGCUCAAGAUGGAAAUUGCAUGUAUGGUUUCUUUGAAAAAAAAAUGAAGUAACACCAUAAUUUCAUUUGGUUUGAGAAAUGAGUGGUCAAAUUUGUGUUCUCGAGAUGGUUCCGUUUUAAAUGCAAUGUUGAUUUUCACCUCUGGGCUCCUAUAAUUUAUUUAUAAAAUAAUAUAAUAGUUUGCCAAAAUAUGUGUCGCGUGUUCUUUAUGAUGAAUUAAAAAUGGAUCGUGGCUAUUAUUAGGGCUUGUUUGGUAGAACUCUGGCUAAAUAUUCCAGCUCCAGCUUCUCUAAUGGAGCGACUUCUCUAAUGGAGAUGAAACCUUUUUGAAAAUGUUUGGCAAAAUGACUCCUCCUAUGUUUUUGGAAUGCACGGGAGAUGUCAAUGUUUAAAUUAUCCCUAACUAUUUGAUUUGGUUGUAUAGACAACAAAAUAAUUAGGAAUUUAACCAAUAAUUUCUCUUUUAUUUUUUAUAUUUUUCCGUUCUUUUUUCUUUUUUCUACCUUCCUUUUUUCCAUCUUACUUCUCUCUGCUUUAUUCUUUCUUAUCCGUUCAUUUUGACUCUUUUUUAUCUCUUCACUGUGGCGCACUCGCCUAGCUCCGUGGCGCCGCUUCGACCUGCCCCGCAACGCAUCGCAUCCUCCGUCCCUCACCAUGCGUGCUGCUGGCUACUACCCCAUGUCUGCCGCUGCCCCGAGCAUGCUGCUCCGUCGUUGCUCCCCAACCACGCGAGGGAUCCAAUGCUGUCAGGCGAGGCCGGCCGAGCACCGGCCGCCGGGCCAAGUGCUCGCGCCGCCGACGGGCUGCGCCUCUUGUUUGCAGCUUGAGAAGAACGACAGUGCGCCAGGUGUGGUAGCGGGGUUGGGUUGCAGUGGCUUUUUUGGGUGUAAUUUCCAUGAACGUCAGGGGCAAUUUAGUAACAGUGCAUCAGUAGGAGCUGCACAGAGCCAGUAUUUUUUGCUCCGACUGCCUAGUGGUGCUUCACAUGCGAAGCUCUUUUCUAUUUGUCCAUUUGGUAGAGCUGCUCAAUAAGCCGGAACUGGAACCUGUCAAAAAGCUUUACCAAAGGAGCUCUCAGUCAUUUCCUAAUCAUCACGACCCUGAUUAAGAAAGGACUCUAUUGCUAGGAUGGAUCGCGAGAUUUUUGCAGCGACUAGGCAAUACCUUGUUUUUGUCGAUGGACAACAGCUCUUGAUACAGGUUUUUCCUUUAUGACAAAUGGAUUUCUCCACUUGAUUCAUUGAAGGAACAAAUGGAAUUGUUUCGUGCUAGAUGGCUAAUAUUAAUUUCCAUAUAUAAUAGUGACAUUUCAUUAGCUGUAACCAUUCAAUGAUACCAAACCAUUUGGAUAUCAAGCAGCAUGAAAAAGAUUAGGCGUGUUUGGUGUGAUCUACAAUAUCUGAAGUUUGUAGCGUACAUUAAAUAAGUCGAAAUCAAGCAUUCAUAUGAGAAAAUAAAUAGUUCUGAAUUGAAAUGAAAAUCAGAUCUCACGAAUGUUGUUGGAUCUGAAGCAUGGCAAAUAAGUGACGGGCUCAAUCAGCAAAACACACACACACACACAAAGUCGUUAAUAACAAGCACAUUCCCAUCUAACGCAUCUUAUAAACUCUACAAAUAUGCAUCUCAGCAUCUGAAUCACAAAUGCAACUCGUCUGCGGUGUGCCAAACCUGCCUGCCUGCAACUGCAAAUGUGCGAUGCAGUAACCCGAUGGAUCCCAGAGGAGGACGGGCAGGACGCCUCCCUCCACGUGGUGCGGCACCUAACAUUCAGCCCGGCACGUCGCCAGCCAGAGUGCCAGACCCAGCCACUGCCAGCCAGGCAGUAGCCAGCCAGCCAACCACCCCCGAUGCCGCCCGAACCGAUGGAUUCCAUUCCAUUCCUCGGCGCGGAGCCGGUAGCCAGCCGCAUUGACCCCGCACGCACCGGCACCGCACAGGCGCACACCCGGGGCGAAACCCCGCAAAACCGACGCGAAUAUAGCGCAGGACACCGCGCCGGGACACGACGGCCGUUGCUGCCGUCCGUCCCGUGGCCUUCGCGGCCUGCAGCCAGCUCAGGCGCGCACGCGCACGCACGCGCGCGCGGCCAACCCGGCCGUCCCCCAAAAAAACCAAAACCAAUGCCAAAUUAACUCCCCACCACCACCGCCCCGCGGCUCCCACCCCCCCGUUCUCCUCCUCUUCCCUCCUCCCCCUCCUCCGAUUCCCCCCAAUUUCCCAACCCUGCGGAGGAGGCAGGGAGGAAGGCCGGACCUCCAACAGCCCGCCCUCCGCACCGCCGCUGCGGACCGGGCCCGUUGCCGGCCGCCAUUCGGGUGCCUGACCGCGGCGACAGGGGGGAGCGUCGCGUCGCGUCCCGCCGCCGGCCGAGAUGGACGACCUCAAGCAGAUCCUGGCGCGGCCGAUCCAGCUCGCCGAGCAGGUAUAAAGUGGUCCGACGAGGCCUACACGUUCCGGCAGGAGUGCAUGGAGCUCAAGGCCAAGGUCGAGCGCCUCGCCGGCCUGCUCCGCCAGGCCGCGCGCGCCGACCUCUACGAGCGCCCCGCGCGCCGCAUCUUCGACGACACCGAGAAGGCGCUCGACAAGGCGCUCGCCCUCGUCGACAAGUGCCGCGCCCACGGCCUCGUCCGCCGCGUCUUCACCAUCAUCCCCGCUGGCUCCUUCAAGAAGAUGACCAACCAGCUCGACAACUCCAUCGGCGACCUCUCCUGGCUCCUCCGCGUCUCCUCCUCCGCCAACGACGACGACGACUUCGACGCCCACAUCGGACUCCCGCCCAUCGCGCAGAACGAGCCCAUCCUCUUCCUCAUCUGGGAGCAGAUCGCCGUGCUCUACACCGGCAACCUCGACGCCCGCGCCGACGCCGCCGCCAACCUCGUCUCGCUCGCGCGCGACAAUGACAGGUACUCCAAGCUCAUCAUAGAGGAGGACGGUGUGCCGCCGCUGCUCAAGCUCGUCAAGGAGGGCCGCCUCGAGGGACAGGAGAACGCCGCGCACGCCGUCGGCCUCCUCGGCCGCGACCCGGAGUGCGUCGAGCAGAUGGUGCAAGCCGGUGCGUGCCUCGCCUUCGCCAAGGUGCUCAAGGAGGGGCCCAUGAAGGUGCAGGCCACGGUGGCCUGGGCCGUCUCGGAGCUCGCUGCCAACCACCCCAAGUGCCAGGACGCCUUCGCGCAGCACAACGUGAUCCGGCUGCUCGUCGGCCACCUCGCCUUCGAGACAGUGCAGGAGCACUCCAAGUACGCCAUCACGUCCAAGAUGUCCAUACAUGCCGUGGUCAUGGACAAAAAGAACAGCACCGGUUCAGGUUCGGCAGACUUGCUGGAUGCCGCAGACCACAGCACCAUGAGGUACCCGACGGGGCACGCUUCGCAGAGCAAGAAUGAGAUGCACAGUUUGGUGCAGUCCACCAUGGCUGCCAAGUCUAAUGGAGGCAGUGGUAAGCACGUAGCUACUACUACUAAUGGUGGUGUUGUGGCAACGAAGCAGCACAAUGCGUCAUUGUCAGGAACGAGUACAAGGGGCAGGGAGUUCGAGGACCCUGAGACAAAGGCAUUAAUGAAAGCCAAUGCUGCAAAGGCAUUGUGGCAGCUCGCCAAGGGCAAUGCAGCUAUCUGUAAGAGCAUCACAGAGUCAAGGGCUCUGCUCUGCUUUGCGGUUCUUCUUGAGAAAGGUGAAGGUGAUGUGCAAUAUAAUUCUUCUAUGGCUCUCAUGGAGAUCUGCUGUGUCGCCGAGCAGAAUUCUGACCUGAGACGAUCAGCAUUCAAGCCAACUUCUCCUGCUGCCCGGGCUGUUGUUGACCAGCUCCUACGUGUUGUCGAGAAGGCUGAAUAUGACGAUCUCCUAAUUCCCUGCAUUAUGUCUCUAGGUUGCUUGUCCAGAACCUUCCGUGCUACAGAGACUCGGAUUAUUGGACCAUUGGUGAAGCUUCUUGAUGAGAGGGAAGCAGAUGUCUCUCGAGAAGCAGCAAUUGCCCUGACCAAGUUUGCGUGCACAGAUAAUUACCUGCACGUCGACCAUUCUAAAGCGAUCAUCAAUGCAGGCGGAGCGAAGCACCUAGUUCAGCUUGUGUACUUCAGUGAGCAAGUGGUUCAGAUUGCAUCACUCACCCUUGUAUGCUACAUUGCACACAAUGUUCCAGACAGUGAGGAGUUGGCACAAGCCGAAAUCCUCACGGUACUUGAAUGGGCUGCCAAGCAAGCUUACAUGAUGCAAGACCCGAUCAUCGAGAACUUGUUGCCAGAGGCAAAGAUCAGAUUGGAACUGUAUCAAUCCAGAGGUGCAAAAGGCUACCAUUAGAUUACCUGCUGUGGAAAGGCAUGAAGGAAGAAUUUUAAGGCGUUCUUCUUUGGAUUGGCCAAGUACUGUAUAUACAUCCAGCAGCUUCUAUGUAUACUCUUGCUAAACCUUUUUGAUCCCCAACAUGGCAAAAGCUGUUGAAGUUGCAUCUGUGGUUGGGUUCUCGAUACAGGGAAGUAUUUUUUUUGUUUGUAGGCUUGGAUGUUCAGAACUCCAGUUCCUCUUGUUGGUGGUAUAGUUUUGGGAGAUUAGCAUCUUGUACUCUCUUUGGCCUAAUGAUGUAUCGUGUAUAUUACAUUUCACUCGUUAAUCUGAAAAAUAUUCUUAAAUCCAAGAGCCUCAUAGUUUUCUUGAGUGUGACCUCAUGGUUUGCUUUGGCCUUUUCUUGUAGGUUGCGUUUGAAUUCAGAAAUUUGCUAAUUUUGUUUACUGUUCACUUCAUGACUAUGCACUCCAUUCCUUAUGCUUAAUGCUUAAUUGGAGAUCCUUAUCUUCUGACUAGUUGGCUUAUCUAUGAGAGAAAAUUUCUUGAAACCGAGAGCCUAACAUUUUUCUUGCAGAUGACCUCAUGGUUUUCUUGACGAUUUCUUGUAAGUAGCAUCUGAACAAAGAAGGUUGCAGUCAACUACAGUAUAGUUUACUGCAUGUUCAGUUUUCCAACUCUCAAUCUCAUGUUUUUUAUGCACUUACCUAUUUGACUUUGACUCAGCAUCUGAAAAUGACAUUGUUGACUUGUCUCAGCAUCUGAAAAUGUCAUUGUGAUUAGCACUACCAUGCUUGAGAAUGUAUGUGGCCUCCCAUUUAUUUCAUAUGUCAUCUUUCAUAUUAGUGUAUUACUGCACAUGUGAGUAUGUUUAUAUUGGGGUAAUUCUAAUGUUGUGGAGGCUAUGGCUGGAGGUGGAUGAAUAUUCUUUUUUUUUUGAAACUUGGGUGGAUGAAUAUUCUCAUGUUCUGAAAUAGUAGCAUUUGGCUCUGAUUCUCUGAUGGCUGGCUGUGGCCCUGUUUUCAUGUCAUACAGCUAGCUCCAUACACAGUACAAGAACAGUAUUUUCUUCAUAACUUUCAUGUGAGACUAAUCUGGAUGUAACCUGCCUAGUAUUUGCUAACUCUUAGUGUGCCUCUUUGUUCAGUCCAGACAAAAGAUGGUCAGUUUCUUGUUAUGUGAUGUGACCUGUUGAUCAAUUAUUGCUGACCAAAAAAGUCUCAACAGGACCAGCAGAUCUUUUGUAGUUUCCCUAUAAUUGGUCCAUGGAUCCAAGAUAGCAUCAACUUUUUCGGUGCAUGAACCAUGUUCAGGUGUUCAUCUUUGUCUAUAUCUUUUUGGUGCAUGCAUCCAUUUUGGAUCUCAGUCUCAUUCCAUAAUCCAGCUUUUCUAUCUUUUUCCUUGCCAUGCAGACCAGGUCCUCCUCCGUUGUCCACAGUAGCAGAUGGUCCUAUCCCACGGCAGGAACUGGAUGUGUACGAGUGCAGGUAGCGUGACCACCAUGUGGAGCUCGUCCGUUCUUCACAGUGCCAAUGUCUGGCCUGUUCAUGAUUUGAUAGUUUCAUGCUUUCGUGGACCCGUCAUGCCAACUCGACUAUUCCGAUCGGUGAGGUGCUGGUCCACCAUCUCUGAUGAACAUGGCUGUGUUCUUGACUGUUUUCUCAACGUUUUGAUUGUAGUUUUCAGUUUGACGGUUUCAUUUCCUCGAGCAAAGAAUGUCUGACUGCCAAAGCCCGGGCCUCUGAAUCUUUUAUGUCUUAUAACUGGGAAUCGUCAAAUGCAAAGCGCAAGUGGUUGUUGCGGUAGGAGAGAAGAUGAUGCUCUUGCGAACCAUGGGUUAGUUGGCGUGGUUCUUCGGUGGGUGACGCUGAUGGUUGUUUGUCUUGAUCUGUCAUUCGAUUGUUCAGUGUGUUGAGUAUAAUGUAAACGGGGCAGGCCGACAGGCAGCUAAUAGGUCGACGUGCCUACCACUAUAGCAGAUCAGAUAUGUCUUCACGACUGCUUUGUCAUGGUACUCUUGUUUUGUGCCAAUGUUCUGCUUCAAGACGGCUGCAGGACCUGUAAGCUUUGAUUCUUGUUCUUGGAGGUAGCCACGUGGUUUCGGUCGUACUAUACAUCCUCUCCUAAACGGUCUUGUCUGUUGUCUGCAAAGUUAUACUCCCUAUCAGAUGGAUCGUGAUUACAUUAGUGUUAAGAGCGUCUCCAAUUGUAUAAGUUAGCUGAUAGCUCAUAGUUGAUGUGGUCCUAUAUAGUUUUGAAGAUCGUGUUGGGAGAGAGAGUUGUAUCGAAAAGUGAGUGAGAUUAGUUCUUCAUUCUACGCUAGUCUCGUACUUAUUCUAACCUAGACUAUUGUGUGAGAGAGUAUUGCACUGUUUAACUAGUAAAACUCUAAGCUAGACUAUUGCUCAUAUCUAUUUGACUUCGCAUGUUUCUCCGUCCUCACCUUUUCUUUUUGAGUAAAUUCUCCGUCCUCAGUCCUCACCUGUCACCUGUUGAAAUCACAGCACGAUUCGGAUAUAACACUUGAGCAAGUUAGACUUGGGCCUGACACAAUGGUCCACAAUUGCAUCAUCUCCGGAGGGCUUCACUAGUGGGCCGAUAUUUAAUUAGUGCAGCAGUAGUAACUCGGGCUUUCCUUCUGACCACUCAAAGGGCCUGGGCUCGUUCGUGGUGUUCUUUUCGAAUGUUGUUGUUGUGUCAUCCCGCCGCCGUGUUUCUUUUUACGGUCAAAAGUACUUAGUAUGUACCAUAUAUACAUGUGAUUUUUUUUAAAAACUGUAUGGCUGUAUACAUGGCAGGUGGUGGGUCCUGGUCUCCUGGACCCUGGUGUAGCGGCUAGCGGGGAGAUGAUCACACACAAAAUAGAAAAUACUCAUCGACCCAAUGAUGAGAACACACAGCCCAGCAAAAGAUAGAAAUUCUGAGCAUAGCAGGAGAAUCUCGCAAUUGUCUAGGAUUAAUCCCGUCAGGGAGUGGUUAGAACAAUGCACCUUUGAUUAAAAAAAUUCACGGUUUCCCCCCGAAAAUGUGGAUUGUACGGUCGGUUUAUUUUGUCUGCGGCACUCGUAAACAGGGCUGCCGUCCAUCUGAACUCAAGGCAAACAAAAAAUUUGCGUGCGGCUGAUUUACUAAUAAACAAACAAGUACUCCCUCUGUUUAUCUUAUAGCACACUCAUAUCAAAAUUCAAACUUUACAAUCUUUGAUCAAUAAUUUAGUCAACUAUUUUUUAUAAUAUAAACUUUAUAUGGUUAGAUUUGUAAUCAAAUGUACUCUCCAAUUAUUAUAAGUUAACUAUAAACAAUAGAAUGUAAGAUAAAUGAACGGUCAAAGUGUAAUCUAGGAGACCAUGUCAAGUUAUAUCACAUCUUAUAAAAAUAAACAAGGGUGUACUGGCCAAAGUAAUCACUGCUAGUUGUUUAUAGCAAAUAGAUUUGCAUAUAAAAAAUUUAAAACCAUAUAUAACGGGAAGUACAUGUGUGUUUUUUUUUUUAAUGGGAUGAUACAUGUGUUGAUUCGCUUGCAUAGCCUUUAAGAAGGAUGAGACCAUUAGAGCAAUUAAGGGCCUGUUUGGCAAGUAGGUGUUAAAGUUUAACACCCGUCACAUCGGAUGUUUGGAUGCUAAUUAGGAGUAUUAAAUAUAGACUAAUUACAAAACUAAUUGCACAGAUGGAGUGUAAUUCGCGAGACGAAUCUAUUAAGCCUAAUUAGUCCAUGAUUUGACAAUGUGGUGCUACAGUAACCAUUUGCUAAUGAUGGAUUAAUUAGGCUUAAUAGAUUCGUCUCGUGAAUUAACACAGGGUUCUGCAAUUAGUUUUAUAAUUAGUUCAUAUUUAGUUCUUCUAAUUAGCAUCCGAACAUCCGAUGUGACACUGUUAAAGUUUAACACCUCGUAUCCAAACACCCCCUAAAGGAAAAAAAUUAGGUAUGUGCACCGUGUUAACUGCAGUUAUGGUGAUAUUUAUUAUUGUUUUAUUUAAAAAAGACUUAUGCCAUCGUUGUGUAAAUUUGUUCCCUUUGUUCCACUGCGAUAGUGCCAAAACUUGUUCAAUUUAUGCCGCUUGAAUUAGUAUGCCAACAGUAUAAGUAGAGCUUGAGUCUAAAUUUUACAUAAGCAAUGGCACGAUGUUUAAACUGUAACUGACAUAGUGGCACAAACCUGAUUCUUCCAAGAUUAAAUCAUACUACCUGUAUCCCAAAAUAUAGCAAUGUUUAGGUUUGCCCAAAAUUAAACUUCUUAACUUUGACCAACAGUAUUUUAAAAAUAAUUCAUUUUAAAUAGAAAAUAUUAUAUGAUAGUUGGUUUCGUGUUGAAUAUGUUAAACUAGCUUUUGUGUUUAUGAGUUUUGCUAUUUAUAGUCAAAGUUUAAAAUAUUUGACUAAGGACAAACGUAAAUGUACUUAUAUUAUGGGACGAGAGAUGCAUAAACUGAAAAAAAAAAUACCACGGCACGUAAUGCUGACAAAAUGAGCUCUAGGUCACCCUGCAAAAAACAAAAAAAGAAAGAAGAAAAAAGUGAGCUCGAAGUCCACCUGUCAGAAAAAACGCAUAUGCCAAUUCCCUACUCACAUGAACUAGUGAUGAUACGGAGCAAUUUGGCCCAAAGACAAAACACUUUGUGUAGCUUUGCUUUUAGCAAAUAGUUCACGAGCUCUAUCUCAAAUACAGGAAGAAGAACACGAGCUGUUGCAGGCAGAAAAUGUAGAACACUCCAUGGAAAUGGAGUCCUGAACUGUCGUCAAUAGAAUUUGCAACUAAAAAUGAGCUGCACUUGCGUCUGUCAGAGUGUAAGAUGGAAGCAGCGUGUAAUUAAGUAGUGAUGGCAGAGAUGGGAUGAAAAUGAAAUACGACUUUGGGCAAAUGCAGAUGCCGAUUUACGCACACUUGGCGGCGAAUUCGGAGCUCCCUCAGUGAGAUUCUCCACCGCGAAUCCCGCUUGCCGCCCGCCCUGGGAUAACGAAUGUCUCUGCAGCCCCACACAUGGACACGGCGCAUCUCCUCUAGAUUCACAACGCCCGUGUUCCUCUCCCGGUUCAAAGCACUCGCUUCAAGCUACUGUAAAGCCGAAGCGGAUCGGCGAUCUAGCGUAAAGCAACCAUGGUAAAAACUGCAAGUGAUCAUCAUUAGAAAUUUAGAAGUAGAAUCAGACGGCGCAGCGGAUCGGUAAUUAUGCAUGCUUGGUAGCAGGUUUAUCUCUCUUUCCAUCUUCCAUUCGCAGAUGGAGAUGGGCGCGCACGGCGCACAUGAGUCGCGCUGAUUGUUUCUUGCUGACAACUGACGCAAACCACGUGGAUGCCCCCGAUUGGGAGCUGCCCACUCGAACGUUGAGCCAGCUGCAUCAAGAUUCAAGGCCAGUGCCAGAGGCGCCACGAGACAGCGCUGCCCGAUGCAGCACUGCAGCUGCCGGCUGCCGCAGCCCGCUCCUAUGGUUGGCGCCUUGGCGGGCACAGGAGGAGUACAGGACAACCUGUUGACCGCUCACUGCGUCACUGACCCCUCUACACGCACCACCGUCCAUCACGAGCUCCCAUGUCCAAGCUCUCCUCAGCUCAGCUCCUCCUAUAAGUCGGCGCAUGAUUGCAUCGCUCCCUCUACAAAGUCCAAUCAAAUCAAGAACGAGACGCUGGGCGGCUAUAGCCAUCUCUCCUGUCUUCUGAUCUUGCUAGCCGUCUCUACCUUUCCGCAAUGGCGGCUCAUCUGCUGCUCUCGGUGUCUCUCCUUCUGAGCUCACUCACCGGUACCGCGACGACGUCCUCGACGACCUGUCGAUAGCCUUUUGCAUGCGUGGCGACGCGGGUGUGCAAUGCUGCGUGCUUACGGCGUCGUGUGUUGUUUGCUGUGUGCAGGGGCGGUGUCCACGACGUUCACGCUGACGAACUCCUGCGGCUACACGGUGUGGCCGGGGCUCCUGUCGAGCGCGGGGUCGCCGCCGCUCUCCACCACGGGCUUCGCGCUGGCGGCGGGGGAGUCCCGCUCCGUGGACGCGCCCCCGGCGUGGUCGGGCCGCAUCUGGGGCCGCACGCUCUGCGCCGCGGAUCCGGGCUCCGGCCGCUUCUCCUGCGCCACGGGCGAGUGCGGGUCCGGCGCGGUGGAGUGCGCGGGCGGCGGCGCCGCGCCGCCCACCACGCUCGCCGAGUUCACCCUCAACGGCGCCGGCGGGAUCGACUUCUACGACGUGAGCCUCGUCGACGGCUCGAACCUGCCGAUGGUGGUGGUGCCGCAGGGCGGCUCCGGGGCCACCUGCGGCGCCACGGGGUGCCUGGUGGACCUGAAUGGGCCGUGCCCCGCCGACCUGAAGGUGGCGGGCCCCGACGGCGCCGGCAUCGCCUGCAAGAGCGCGUGCGGCGCGUACGGGCGGCCCCAGGACUGCUGCAGCGGCGACUACGGCACCCCGGCGACGUGCCAGCCGUCGGACAGCUCGCAGUUCUUCAAGAACGCGUGCCCGCGCGCCUACAGCUACGCCUACGACGACGCCACCUCGACCUUCACCUGCACGUCUGGCACCGUCAGUUACCUCAUCACGUUCUGCCCUAGCAUGUCCAGGUAAACACCCAUCCUAGAUAAUGCAAAGCUAUUAAGCAAUAGUACGCGCCAUCAAUUACUAGUAGCUAGAGAAUGCCUUGUUGUACUCAUGCGUUGCGUACCAGACACUGCUUCUGGAAAGCCCAGGCAGACGCGAAUCAUUGGCACGAACGUGCAUGGCCAUCAAUGAAACAGAUGUUUUGUUGAUCGAUGAUCAUGUACGCAUAUGAUCACCCGUAGGUUUAACGUUUUGUGCCACCAAAAUGAUAUCCUAACAAUGUACAUGACGGUUGGUACGAUAACAGAUCCUGUCACGUCCAUGUCCGUUGUUCCCGCUAACCAAACUCUUGUUUCCACUGCACCAGCCUCAAGUCGUCCGUGAGCAGCAGCGGCGCCGGCGCCAGCACGAACCCGUCAUCCGGCGGCCCGGGCCUGCCCCUGAUCAACGACACGGUCUCCUUCGCCGGGCGGGGCGACGGGUACUCCUCGUACCCCUACGCGUCCGCGUCCGCGUCGGCGCCGUCGCUGUCGGCCCCAGGCCCCCUCGCGCUCGUCGCGGCCGCCGCGCUCACAUGGCUCUGCGCCGCCCCGCGCCACCGGCUACGGUUGUAGAGCGAGCGACCGCCCCCACGCCGCCACGCGCAUGGGCCGUGGCACCGGGCGCGGUCGCUGCUGCUCCCCCGCGUCCAGGGGUGGUAGGGAGGCAGCGGCCAGCAGGCACGGCAGCCCUCGUGGAGCCGCGUGGCCGCCCAUGCGUCGGCCAUGUGCCGGCCGGCCCAGACGUUUUGACCUCGGGCCGUAGUGCUAAUUGUAUAGAGAGAGACUAAAAUCAUUGUGGAUCGGAGAGGGGUAGUAUGAUUUUUGCAAGCGAAGCAAGGUGGUCUCGGUACAGAGCUUGAUAUUGUUUAAUUAGGAUGGAGGGAGUACCCUCAAGAUCGAGAACUGAGAUUCCUUUUCGAGAUGGGUGAAUACACAGCAGAACAGAACAGAACCAGGUGGGUUGAGGACCUGGGGAAAUGUGUGCGCACGAUGGGUCGGUGGAUCACAAUCACAUGACUGGCAUGGGAUUAACUUGUUUUCGUGGUCUCCGAAAAACUGAACCCCAGACCAUGGAUCGAUUGGAUGUUUAUUUUUUUUAUUUUUCAUUUCUCUUAAACACAAAAAAAUUGGAUCGUGCCAUACUGGCAUGGGGUUGGUCUCUGAUCCUGGCGCGAGGACGGAGUUUAAACAAGUGCAGGGAUGGAUCUUGUUGGUUACUGCUUAUCUUGCACUCUUGCUCGGCGCCAGCAGAAAUGCAUUGCCACUUUACCAGUGUGAAAUCUGAUGGCACAGUUGCACUGACGGGUAUUGAGUAGUCACUGUCUGAUUCCGAUGCGAUUUUAUGAAUGCAGCGUACUACUCGGUACUCCUACAAGGUCGGCAGCAGAUCAGAUCAGCUCAGCUGGCUGCCUGCCUGCCUCAAAGCUGAAAAAAGGGCUGGGGAGCUAUAGGACUCUGUGUGUGUGUGUGACUGGGUCCACCUAAUUAGGGCACUCUGCACUGCAGGCAUGCAUUCAGCAUUCAUAUGGCAGACGGCGGAUGCUGAUUCUUUUGUCCCUUGCACAGCUAGAGCGGAAAUAUUCACCACCCACCAGUAAAAUCCAGCAACUGGUUUCUCCUGCUUAUUUUUAGCACCCGUCACAUCGAAUGUUUACAUACUAAUUAGAAGUAUUAAACGUAGACUAUUUACAAAACUCAUUACAUAAGUGGAGGCUAAACAGCGAGACGUAUCUAUUAAGCCUAAUUAAUCAUUACCUACUCAUUAAUUGAAUAUAUUUUUGCAUGUACAAAAUCUGUGAAAGUUUUGUUUUUCAUCCUGAGAUGCAGUGAAAAGAUAAAAUAAAAUCCAUUUCCAAAAAACACGCGUGAGAAGAAAACUAGGAAUAAAGACCUUUUGUCUCGGGUGCUAACAGCAACCGGGACAAAAGGACCCCCUUUUAUCCCAGUUGCGAAGCGGCAACCGGGAUAAAGGGGUACUUUUCCUCUCCCGCCCAGACUUACCCUUUUAUCCCGAUUGCCACUGCAACCAAGAUAANNNNNNNNNNNNNNNNNNNNNNNNNNNNNNNNNNNNNNNNNNNNNNNNNNNNNNNNNNNNNNNNNNNNNNNNNNNNNNNNNNNNNNNNNNNNNNNNNNNNACUAGCACCCUCCCAUCUGAUGCUUUCCGCUCCUCACCGCGACCGCAACGCGCCAGUGUUCUCACCUUAGUCCCUGGACUAAUCCGAAUGUUUCCCUGGUCACCCCUGUUUAGCCUCCACUUAUAUAAUGGGUUUUAUAAAUAAUCUACGUUUAAUACUCCUAACUAGUAUCUAAAUAUUCGAUGUGACACGUGCUAAAAAUAAGCAAAGGGAACUAAACGUCACUGGACUCUUUUGACUCCUGUUUGUUGGUACUACUACUGUACCGUGCUUGCAAGGGUCGAUGUCGACUUGACAUCCACAAUUCGCAAGCAAAACUUGUUUGGGAACUGAAAAAUGCCAAGGAGUCUGACACGAGCAACAGACAACUGAGACAUGGCAAAAUAUAACAGCUGGGCCCGAGUGUACGUGCGAGUGGCCCAAGUAUUGCUGGGCCUCCUCUCUGCAUCCACAAGUCCACAAACCAAACAUGCUGAUGCUGCUGUGCUGCAGUCUUUACCAAGAACUGAAACAGCUGCUCCAUGGCAAAUCCCAGAUCAGCAAAAAUGCAAGAUAAAAAGACCCAUCCACUCAGCAAAAAAAGCAGGCAGGGGUCCCUGUGGAUCAGCAGCAUCUAACAGGUAAAUUUAGAUUAUCUCCAUCUUGCCAGCAUCUAUCCACGGGACCGUGGCAGGCAGGAAUAGCAAGGAAAGGGAGCGGCCGGAUAACCAAAAACAACACAUGCUGACACCCCCGUAGCCCCCACCAUCACCAGAAACGGCGCCCGCACAGGCCAGAGAUGGCCGGACGCGAUUGAAAAGCGGAUGCACUGAAGACGCAGAUGUGCAAUGCCGACAUGGCAGACGUAAUAGCUUUAUAUCGCGGGGCGGAAAAAGUGCCUUCCCAAAUCUCUCCUGCUUUUCAAUCCGGUCCAUGAGACUCUACGCACACGCACUCCUUGAUUUCUUUUAGCAUACAACUUGACUUGAUGGUUUUAUCGCUUUGCCUGACAUGGCAUUGCCAUGAGGCAUCUAUUCCAUCGCAUCGUCUACCGUCGUCUCCAACACUCUCGUUACCUCGCCAGAAGCUCCAUUCUACCACACGAUCAGACAAAAGCUCGUAAUAAUCUAUCUAGAAACUGGAUGAUCUCGCUUGCUUUACGCUUAUAUUGUUUCGUGCUCGAAGCGCAUUUGCCUUCCUGUUCCUCCAGUCAUGUCGAGAUCAAUCUGGCACGGCGUAGACUCCACCUCAGCAGCACUUAGGCAUUGCCGCAUUGACUACAGGUCUUCAGCCCCGUUGCGUUAGAGGCCACGUGAAACAGUAUUAACCUAGUACGUAGGGGCCAAAGCAUCCCCUUUUCAGCACCCUCUUUUGACGACGAUCUGAUCUGAUCCGUUUAUACUUUGCCCCAGCCAUGCGUCCAAGAACACAGGAGUUAGCAUCGUUAGCAGCAGCAUGGACUCCUAUUUGGAGGUUUCCUUUUGGGGCCAUUUCUCCUCGUCGACAAGCAAAGGAUCCCACUGUGCUUAGUCCGGGGUGACAGGUUCUGAGAAGACACAAAACGGGCCAAAUGCAGAGGAGAUAGGUAGGUUGGGGGUACGCAGGGCUGGGACCCUGCUCGUCGCCAAUCGCCAUGGUUGACGCUUGACUGGAGCUUUGGCAAUGCCAAUGCAGUUCGAGAACAGUGGAGACUGACACACGAGAUAUCCCCUUUUUUUUGCCGUUCCCUCUUUUCCUUUUGUGAGACAGAGGAGAGACGAAGCCGGAAAGGUCCCAGCGGCGAAGCGGCAAAAGGAGAGGAGGGAUCGGAGAUAUACUAGUGCCUAAUCUCUUAUCCGAUAUGUUGAUCAUCUCGGGCGCUUUCCACGGCAGCAAAUUGUGUGCCGAGGUUGGUGCGCCCGUCGUCGCUUUUGCUUCCUCCUGAAGACAAAGGGAAUCGACCAGAGCCUCCAGGGCCAGGGGAGAAGGAGUAGAGGAAAUGGGGAUUAUGUUUUGCAGCGGACAAUGCGUACAGGCAGGUCAGCUCUUCGUUUGUCAGGCUGCCGGACGAACAAAGGUUCAGCUUAACAUUGCAAAUGCAAUGCGUGCAUUGCAGCAAGUCAGUUCUUGCUAUGUUUGACGCAUUUAGGCAGGUUGUUGAAUGUUUUAUCAUUAUUAGGCUUGCACUCAGGCGUAUUUUUCACAUUUUGGCAAAGCCUUGAUUCCAGCUUGACUGGCCGAGUGAUGCCAGAGCGACUUCUGAAUCGGAAUUUGCAUGCUUAUACAUAAGACGGACAUAAGAUUUAUUUAGGGCCUCUUAUAUCUGAAAUAUGGAGAUUCCCACGAACCGGUUCAAGUUGCAAAAUGUGAGAGCAUUUCUCAUUCCAAACCAGGCCUCACGAUACUAAAUACUGAAUUUGUAACUGCACAAGUCUACAGACUGAAGUGGGGAACAUAUCAUUUUCAAGUGAAAAGGCAAGAACAGCACCUGUUGAAAUAUCUCGAAAACGAGCUUUAACGCAUGUCUCUGAACGGUGGAAAGAGCUCCACCCGGUAGCUGUCCCGCUAGAGCGAUCUCGGAGCGUUACCGCCGCUGCUCUGAGGAGACCGGAUCGAAUGCAGAGACUGUUCGACGAAUCUUUUGACACUGUUCCAGAAAAAAGCAGCAACCCUCGACGAUCCAACGUUGCACCAACGCCAUCGGUGCUGACUCGUGCUACGUCCUUCCUGAAAACGAUGCUCACUACCACGGUAAAUGGUACCGUACCGUGUCCCCCGCAGCCGACACGCUCCACGCCAACCACGUUGCCAUCCGUGUACCUGUCGUCCUGUUGCGCUAUCAGGACAAGCAGCCCCGCAGCCCUAGGACCGGCCGACGCUCAGGGCGGCACUGACCGGAUUGGAAGUUCAGAGGAGGCUCGUCCAAACAAACUGGAGCGGAACACGCCGGCCUUGUUGUGAACUGAAGCUCCUACGAACCUGAAACCGUGACGCGUGAGACACUGAGACGUGACCAAAGAUCAAAUCUCUGCGGUGGGAACGGGGAGGCCUGGCGUCACUCGCGUGCCUUGCAGACGGAUCAUGUCGGGCCGAAUCCGCCAUGGACAUUUGCGUCCCAAACAGACGCACGAACGCCGCGACAGGCCAACGCCACGGCGAAAGCAAGGCGACCGCCACGCCCGAACGGAGCCAAGCAGCAGACGCCAGACGGAGCCCGCGAGGUGAGGUCACCACGCUGAUCGCGAGUGCUCACCCGCCUGUCCACCAACACCGGACGGACGGACCGCGCGGAGGGAGGAGGACUCAUCAGUAUGGCACCGAGAAAACAAAGGAUCGGUAGCGCGGCAAAACGAAAUCCAACGCCAUGCGGCUUCGUUUCUGGGAGGUCUUUCUAUCAUUCUAUUGGGAGGGUGAUAAUAAUAGAUUUUUGUUCGCUUCAUUUCUGGCUGACUAAAAUUCAGUGCUGUCGGACUAGUUUUUUUUUUUGGAAUUACAUGAAACAGUUAUUUGAAGUCUAAUAUAUACCGACUGUAACUCCAACAAGAACUAACUAUGAAAAUUCGUUUGCCUCGCCCUUACAUUACAUGCAAGCAAUGCUAAAAGGGAAAAAGAAAAAGGAACUAAAUGGAGUGUGCAAUGCAAUGCACCCGAAAAAGCCGGUCUUGCGAUAGCUUAUCCGUCGUUUAUCACGUUACAUGCAUGAACACUCUCGUAGCCGAGGCAUCAGUUUUGUUUCUCUCUCUCUCUCUGUUUCUUUUGAGGAAAAAUCGAGUGUGCAAUGCACCUGAAAAUCGUCCUAAAAAGUGAUAGAAUAAGUGCACGGGGGGGUAAAUAAAGUCGCUUAAAAUCCCCAAUCCUAUCUUUUGAGAGACCUCCGAUUAAUAUCUGUGCGCAUAUCAUUGCUCGCCAUGAGGAGGGAAAGGAACCGAGCAAAACGGAGGUCGACGUGCCGGAGGCCGCUGACGUCAUCGUGAUCUAUAAAUGGGCAGGUGUGCGAUCGGGGUGAGCCUACACAAGCUAACCGACCCGGAAAAAAAUUCAGUGCAUCCUCCCCGCACGCGGAUCCCGUGGGCACCAGCCUCCUACUGAUGACGCGUGUCCAGCAGGAUGUCCGCUCGGCUCCGUUCCCAGCGCGUGGCUCGCACGUCUUCGGCUCACAGCGGACGAGUCCACGACGACGUAGCGCUCGGCUGGCAAGUUGGUUUCAGUUUUCCACUGCCCGGCUCGUAAUACAAUAAAUAAAAUAUUCUGCUCCUGGCUUUCACGUGUUGCUUCUCCGACCAAGUCUUCAGGAUCAGGAUUAUUCUCCAUGAUUUUUUCAGAUGGUGCCAAACCUUUUGGAGGUACAUAUGACAUUUUGGCCUUUCUUAAACUUGUAUAUACGAGGUUAUUUUUGCCGAAAAUGAUCACAGUAUUUUGUGAAUGUUUCUAUGACUGUAGUGAAUAGGAUAUGUAUUAAUUUCAAAUUGAUAACCAGCUGAAAUAGGAAAUAUCAUAUGUAACUAGCAAAAUCCAUCUCAAAUGUGUCAUACUUGAAACAAAUAAAUACUGCAAAGUGGCGUGUUGUCUAUCAACACAGUUACAUCUUCUCAUCAAAAUUUAACUUCCUAGCGGAUAAGGACAUUGCGGCAUCUUGAUGAACACCAUGUAAAAGGUCUGUAUAUCCGCCUUGCAUGAAAGGAGCACACAUGGUAGAAGAUUGCCCAUACACACAGUCUGUGAAGUUUGGCACUGUAGCAUUAGUAUCUCCUCCAUGGAUGAGUGGCGCAGCCAUGGCUGAAUCAUUUGCAAAUUGCAUUGUACUAGUAUAACCGCCAAUGCUACCGCCACCAUGAAGGUCCUGUGUCAUGUAUAACAAAUUGUUUGUUACAAUUUGUUGUUAGUAAAAAAAUAUAAAACUAGAAUAAUGAGUCUAAGUCAUUUACGAUCAAUUGGUUUGGAUCAACAGUUUCAUAUGUAUUCUCUGCGGCAUUAAUUGGACCAUCUCCUGUGAACAAAAAUAAUUAAUAUACAAGUUGGACCUUUCCGGGAACAAAAUCAGCAAGGUAGGGUGAAUACCUUUCUUCUUAGUACUUUUCUUUUUCUUCUUUGUUGUAUUCUUUUCAACUGCACUUUGGAGUCGCUUAUUCUUUGGGCCCUUUAUGACACGUGGAACUCUAAAUGAUAUUGUACCUUUUAAUGUGUCUGUAGCGCAUUCAGUAGAAACUACAACAACGUCAUCGAAUUUUUCUUGCAACUUGCUCAUAGCAAUAUCUGCUUCUAAGUCCAACUUAUCUAGGCCUUUCUCCAAAUUCUCAAGAAGUUCUUUUGACACUGAACAUUUCAAUGUAAUGGAUGUAGCCUUUCGUGACAUACGUGCAGCAUGUGCUUUCAAACUUUCUUCCUCGGUUUCUGGUUUCUCGAUAUAAAAUCCUCUUUUUGCAUAUUUGGUCCAUCUUCCCAUUAUAUAUUGCGGCGGCAAUUUAAAAACAUCAUUCACACUGAAAACUUUGAAGGCAUGCUUGCACAGUAUACCUACAUAAUAAAAACAUAAGUUUCCAUUGGUUCAAAUUAGAAACUAUAUUAUAAUUCAAAAUGUGUGCACAUACCUAUGGAUUCAUACUUUCUGCAAGAACAUGUAACGGACAUAUUCGCACUGUUGAAAACAGUCGUUGCUCCAUGAUUAGCAUGCAUAUGUGUAACCAUAUAUGUGAGGAUUGACUCAUCAGCUUGCAACAAUUUACAAGAGAAUGAAAAAUAUUCUUUAAAUUCUUCCUCAAACUCCAAAUACAUCCUCUUUGUAUAUGAUUCAGCCGCAGAUUUCAAUAGAGGUAAAUCUGGACUGUAAGUAACUGGGUUCUUUCGGCGUGAGUUAAAAUCUGCUUCUAACUCAUUUUCACGAAGGCUAGCUGAAACCUUCUCGCAUUCUACAAGAAGUUCAGUAAGUCCAAGUUUUCUACGAAAUCUUUUCUUGAACACGUUAUUCAUACCUUCACUUCUUUGAGUUGAAUUCAUAUCAGCUGUAAAAGAGUCACGGUAUAUAGUAGCCCACUUUUUCCUCAAAGCAUAUAGGUUUGCCAUCCAUUGGUUGUUCUCUAGUUUAUACUUACUCAACAAUUUCUGCCACAUCUGAAUGAACAGCGGCUCUGAUCUCUCUUCAUACACGCAUCUCUUAAAUUCAGGUAAAAAUGUCUCAGAAAAUUUUUUAAUUAAGGGUCCUAGAUGUUUAGCUGCAUUAAGACAUAUGUGCCACAAACAAAGACGAUGACUUGUAUUUCUGAAUACAUAGGCAAUUGCUCCUGCCAUGGCCGCGUCUUGAUCAGUGAAAAUUGUUUUGGGAUGUUUGCCAGACAUAGCUGUUAGGAAGGUCUCAAAGAGCCAAACAAAUGAUUCAAUACUCUCAUUAAAUAUCAAUGCUGCCCCAAAAAUUAUUGUUUGCUUGUGAUGGUUCGUUCCCAGGAGUGGAGCAAAAGGCAUUUCAAACUUAUUAGUCUGAAAGGUGGUGUCAAAUGAUACGGCGUCACCAAAGCAUGCAUAGUCCAUAAUAGACUGACCAUCUGCCCAGAAGAAAUUAGCUAUCCGACCAUCUUCCUCGUCUAUUUGAGCAGCAUAAAAAAAUCCAGGAUCAUCUCUCUGCUUAUUCUUCAAGUAAUCCAACAAUGACUGCGCAUCAUUGCACUCUAAGUACUUCUUCCGCUCGCGACCGAUCUCAUUGUUGCUAUCCAUCUUUGCAAAUGGAACUUUGUCAGAUCCUCCAUAAAAUUCUUUCAUGAACUCAUACACCUGGGCUGGCUUCAUCCCGGCUUCUCUUAUCUGACCAAUCAGCUGCCUGUCUGCAUCUGUAACACGACGCUGGGACUUCAGCUUGUGCUUUUUAUUAGGACUAGCAAGAUAAUGAUUGUGAUCAAGUACAACCUUUUGCACUUUCCAAAUCCCCUCUCUGCUGACACUAAACUGAACACGGGCAUCACAACCCGUCCUUGUAACAUCCUUCUGUGACGACGCAUUAGCACAGUGUCCUUCGUUACUGCAAACUAUAUACUUCUGGCAUAUAGUUUUAUCAACUCGGCGCUUCGUAUGGCUCUUUCUAAUACUGAAUCCGACCUUACCAGCAUAGUUAUUAUACAUCUCGUAAGCUUUAUCCUCUGAAUCGAAAGCCAUUCCAACUUCAGGAGCAAUCAAAGGCUGUCCAUUUUUAUCUAAUACCUGUUGUACGAUGAGAGAAAAUUUAAAGCUGUUUAAUAACUAGGAAUAGAUAGUAUGAUUUUUUAAUGCUUAUAGUAGUCAAACUGACAUCUCAUACCGUAUCUGAUUGUUGUGCCAUAGAUUCUGGUAACUCAGAAACUGAUGUAGACGCGGACUCGAUGACAGCAGUGAUGUUCCCCUACGUAUGUAAAAACAGUUGUUUGAGAUGUUCCCGCCCACAAAUCUAGCUAGCACAAAUAGAUCUACAAUGUUAUAAGGGUACAUUGCUUCCGCACAUACCUGUCUUGCAUCAACAGCACCAUUGAUUAGGGCAGAGUUCGUCGUUUCCAUGGUGUCUACGAGAGGAUUUGAUGGGGAAAAAUUCUCCUCACCAUCUGAAUGAUCUCCGAAGGUGGAGUCCCUUUGGCUUGCAUGGCUACAAGACAUCAGGCAACCGGCGGCAACUCGCACAGCCGGCCGCAGUACGUGUAUCGUCGGCGGCGGCGGCAGCGGCGUGACCUGUUUCUACGAUCUUUCUCUGUGGAUGGAACCAACUCACGAAGCUAUCCUAUGAUUACGGCGCUGACUACGUGGUGAUGAGCCGGGCGGUGCAAAACUGAAACCAACUUGCGAGCCCAGCGCUACGUCGUCGUGGACUCGUCCGCUGCGAGCCGAAGACGUGCGAGCCACGCGCUGGGAACGGAGCCGAGCGGACAUCCUACUGGACACGCGUCAUCAGUAGGAGGCUGGUGCCCACGGGAUCCGCGUGCGGGGAGGACGCACUGAAUUUUUUUCCACCGACCCUCCCCUCUCCUCCCACAAGAGCCCGACCCACUCCGCACGGCACGCCCCCCGUGCUGGUGGUAGUGGCGCCAGCCACUUCCUUCCUCCUCCAGCUUCGCCCGCCUCCCUAACCACCGCUGCUCACCCCAUAUAGUUAGCUGAAACUGCCAUUUCAAGUACUUCCUGGUCACCCUUGCCAUAAUUGAUCAGCCUCCUGUUCCUGCUUGGCACCUACAUUUAAAAUUGCUGGAGCGGUUCGAUUUCGUAGCAGAUCACCAGUGUCCGAUGGCUUCUUUGGUCAGCUCGUCGGCUUCAGUUAUUGCUCUGUCGCUCGUGACCCUGUCAUUCUUUCAAGGUAUUGGGCUACUGGCAAUGGUGAAUCUUUGGUUUCUUGUUGAGUUUUGAGCUUCCUACGUAUUGCAUCAAUCCAUGAUGGUUUCUUUACGGGUAUGGUUUGUUGCGCGUGAAACAACAGGGGCGGUGGCCGGGGUGACGUUCACGUUCACGAACCGGUGCGGCGGCACGGUGUGGCCGGGGGUGCUGGCCAACUCGGGCAGCUCCCCGCUGCAGACGACGGGGUUCGCGCUGGGCGCCGGCGAGACGCGGUCCCUGACGGCGCCGGCUGGGUGGUCGGGCCGUUUCUGGGCGCGCACGGGGUGCGCCUUCGACGCGUCCGGCAAGGGGUCGUGCGCGACGGGGGACUGCGGGUCGGGCGAGGUGGAGUGCCACGGCGAGGGCGCGGCGCCGCCGGCGACGCUGGCGGAGUUCACGCUGGGCGGCAGCGGGGGCAAGGACUACUACGACGUGAGCCUGGUGGACGGGUACAACCUGCCCAUGGUGGUGGAGGCGGCGGCGCCCGGGUGCCCCGUGACGGGGUGCCUGGUGGACCUCAACGAGCAGUGCCCCGCGGAGCUGCGCGCCGGGCAGGGGCAGGCGCGGGCGUGCCGCAGCGCGUGCGAGGCGUUCGGGAGCCCCGAGUACUGCUGCAGCGGCCAGUUCGGGAACCCGGACACGUGCAGGCCAUCGGUGUACUCGCAGGUGUUCAAGGCGGCGUGCCCGCGGUCAUACAGCUACGCCUACGACGAUGCCACCUCCACCUUCACCUGCACCGGCACCGACUACUCCAUCACCUUCUGCCCGCCGCGCGCCGGGACGCCCAGCAGGUAAAAGAGUUCUUGCUUGGUCCAACAAAUCCUAGCCCUCUUCUGAUUGAAAAACCAAACACUGCCACCAGAUGCAACGCAACAACAGUUUGGGUGUUUUCUUCUGCAUUGGGGAUUUUUUUUCUCUUUUGGAACAAAUUUUUACACUGGGGGUAGGUAUGGCGUGGUAGAAGCUCGCGGUUGACACUGACGGACGUAAUGGCCGGAGAAUAUCAUACGGGCAUCUCCCGGAUUGCUUAGAAAAUGCAUUUUUUUGGCAAAAGAAGCAUCGAACUGGGACGGAGAAAGGAGGCGCUUUAAAUUGUUCGCCUCGCUUCUUUUGGCGCCACCGCCUUUGUUCCUUCCCCACCUUGUAUGGUCACCAGUCCCCUCGCUAGUGGCGGUUGAGUUAAAAGCUGCCCGUGCCUGGUUGGCAGAGCAACCCAUGGACACCCGAGAAGAGCUUGGAAUCUCACACCCUCACAGUUCAUUGACCGAUCUUUGUUUAUGAGAAAUUGAGAAUGCUCAAUGUUGUAUGGUCUAAUCGUUCUGAUCAGAGCCAUGGUGGUGACAUUUCUGCAGCCAAAAGGCGACCAAGGAUCCCUCGCCGAGGCCCAACGACGUGCAGCUCCAGGGAGACUCGUGGCUGGCGAGCCUGGCGACCGGCGAGAUGGACGGCGCGACGUCGACGGCGGUGGCGUCGUUGCGGCUCCCGGCCGCAUUAGCAGCGGCCGCAGUCGUUGCAUUGCUUGUAUGACCGAAUUGGCUGCCAGCCCUUGCGUGGCGAGAAGGCGGCUCCUCAUCGUCAGCGGGAGCGGCCGGAAUUGCUUUGGGAAUUCAAUACAGGAUUGGAGCAUGUAGGAUGAGGACGUGAAGCAUAUUCUUUUUAGCCUUUUGUCUUGUGGAUAGAGGGGUUGACAAGGUGGCAACUACACCUUCUAGUGCUACUGCAAUUGUGUCUGUCAACAAACACGCCCUGCAUUAGUUUAUUUUCGAUCUCUUAAGCAACACAUGUCACCCAGUUCCCCUUUUUUUGUAUAUAUACAUUGUUUCUUUAUUUCCGUCUCCUUUUUUUUCUCUUCUUGUCACAUGCAGUAGUCUAAGUAGAAUAGUACAGUAAGAUUUAGCCCAUCUUCUCGUCCUGUCUUGAUGCGUUUUACCUUUUUGUUGAAAGUUUGAGAUAUGAAUGACAGCAACUCCUUUGACCUUCCUUGACAUUUGUUCUCGGCUUCUCGCUCACUUCUUAUGCUUUCCAACACUGAUAGUUUGAGAUGUGAAUGCAACCAGGAUUUUUCAUGUUUUUAAACAAAGAUAGAAUCUUUGGAAAGGAAUGGGAUUUGAUUGAUACUGUUAGUAGAGUGAUCACCACAAUUCAUUCAGACAUGGUGAGUCAGCUAAAAAGAAAACGUGGGUGCAGAUCUUAAUUUCAAAGGAUUCGGAUGGCCCACGGAGAUAUGAUUAUCAUAAGGAAAAAAGGUGAAUAAUCACAUGUUCAUAAACCUCAAAGAAACUAGAGAUGGCCCAGUAAUAAGUAGUAACCAUGUUUUGACAGAAAACUGACAAAAUAAGGUAAAAUUCAGUCAAAACAGUUAGUGGGACCUCAUUAGAAGCCUACAACAUACUAAAUGGAUUUUGCAUAAAUAGAGAACUAUCAAAGAAAGGACAACGUAAGCUAAAAGAAUAUGUAAAACACUACGACGAAGUUACUGAAAUGUAACAAGUUAAGCAAAAGGAGAACCUGGCAGAGUCAUCUUGAAAGCUCAUGGACCUUGUAUUAACCACGAAAAAUUCUUUUGGAUAAAGUCUUUGCUAGAGCAUUUGAGCUGAUGCCUGUCGAAUUCAUUUCCAUGCUCCAAUUAAAUCUUGAGAAGAAACAAAAAGAAGAACAGAUAGUUAGAAUGUCAACAGAAUCAUAGUGUCAGUAAGAGCACUUGUUUAUGUUCUUUUUCCAUCUCAAGAGCAUAAGUGCUAAUAUGUUCUUUUAGACUACUUUUUGGGUAAAAUGGACGAUCUGUACAUGUUGGAUCAUAUGCUAAGUCUAUGGAAUAUUAAUGCGCUUAAUAAUUCCGACCCCUAAAAAUACUGAACUAAGUUUGGGUAUUGAAGAUUGAAAUAUUAUAGGGUUAAAAAAAGGCACAUAUGUCUAACAUUGUCAAAUGCAGAUAGACGUCCCUUCAUAGUCAGUGCAAGUAUUACUGAAUGCCAUUCUAUCUCAUAACUUUGGCGAAAGCAACUUUCACAACAGAAUAGGUGAUACUGACAUCCGUUCUAAAAGUAUCAACAGCACAAGCCUAGCUGUCUCCUGCAUUUUUUCCUAAUGUCCAUUCAGCACAGUUAAAAAGGCCGAUGGAGUCAAUCAUAGACGCAGUAUUGUUGGUCCCUGAAAAUAUUUUGAUCCUUUCUUUUAAGGAGCCUCAGCUCGGCAUGUUGAUGCCUGAAUCGAAUCUCCUUACAAACAACAUUGCAUCUUCAGCUACAAUGCGCUUGCGGGCAUCUUUCACUUUUCUCACUUUUGCAGUCCUGUCAGGCAAAAACCCACCUGUUUUGAUUCCAUUUACAUCUUUACAGUGAACGACUAAUGGAAUUUCUCCAAAAUAUCAAACUAGGAGGAAUAUGCCCUGUGAUGUUACAGUAGAUGACACCUGGCUUCUUCCUGUUGGAAAUAUCUAGUUGUGCAACAAUUAGUCAAGAAUGUCACAAGUAUGGUGUAUUAACGAUAUGAAAUAGUGACGUGGUAAGAUCUUUUUGCAAUGUUUUCUCACCUUUUGCAAAAGAAAACCUGAGAUUUGUACAGGUGUCCUUGUACUGUUAUACAUCAGAUUCGUCAUGAAGCUAAGAUCAGCAAGAGCAUUAGCUAUUCAGCAUGUUGAAGACUGAAGAGAACCAGCACCAAUCCCUUAUGCACGUAAUAUUAGAGUCUUCAGGUCCCUCAAUUGCUCAUGUAGAAUCACGUUUGCGAGUAUGAGAAAGGACUGUAUAUUCACAAACUUGUCAUUUUCUAUUUUCGACAGACUCUAACCUUGGUGUUAAAUCAGUUGAAAGUAUCUCCAAGGAAAUUUCAAAUGUAUGCUGUUUCAACAUGAGCUUUAUGGUGAGGUGCCAUUGAUGUGCCCUCUCUGGAAUAAAGUGAACCAAAGGUGAUUGUGAAUGUGAAUAUAUUUUUUGGAUUGCAGGUUAACGACCAAUUGUGAGCCAUUAAAAAAUGUGGCCAAUUUUGAUGGGGACAUGAUAAUGAUAUUAACAACCAUGGACCACACUAAAAGUUAUGCCCUUCAUCAUAUUAGCAUCAGCUCAAACAAAUUGUGUAAAAAAUCAACACCACACAUUCGGAGCAAUAUGUCAUGUUAGUUUCAACCUGGAUAUUCCAGAUGUAAACAAAUUGUGUACUGAGAUCAAAUGCAGCCCAGCAAAUCAUUGAAUUUGGUAGUUUCAUAAGGAAAUAGUUUACUAAAAAGGACAUAAACACAUAUUUAAGUAGUAACUACAUCUUAUUAAAAAGUGUUACCAAAGGAGAAGGGUUUUUUAAGCAUAAAAUGUUCCUGAAUCACUUGCUUCCGUUCAUCAAGAACAUCUGUCACCAACCUCAGACAGCUGUUUGGUGCAUGAACAUGUAGUUUUAGAACUCAGAAGCAGUGCGUGAACUCUUCUAACCCACCUUAUAGGCUUAUUUAGAGCUGCUUAGGUAAUUCAGUGCACAGGUAAAGGUCAACAAGAGAAAGGAUCGGCAUAUAUAGUCAAGCUUGGUAUAAACUACGAAUGAAUCAAAUAGCUAAAAAAAUUUGAAAAUCCACAAAUUAAUGAAAGUUACUUAAUUCAGGUGAUGAAAUUCAAAGAUGCAUAUGCACCAGAUUGAAUUGUACUAGAACAAGAACAGAAGACACAGUACAUACUGUAUGAUGCCCGAUUAAGGGGCACUUAGUUCCCCGCCACAGCUCGCCACCACUACAGUGACGCGUGCCACAGCAUAGUCAACUGCAGUGGGAGCAGAUGAUGUGGCGCCCAUUUUUGCCGCCACAACCUGUGGCGCACCACACUGUCACGUGGUGUGGCUUGGCUGGGAACCAAGUACGCUAUCAGUGUCAAAAGAACGGGAUCCUCCGCGCAGACGCUGACCACCACGUCAUUCGGAAGGGGAGGGUAUGGAAUGGGACCACCUAACUCCCAGACCCCGGGAGCUUGGAGCCCCCAGGGGACAGUGCGACGAAAGGAUUCCGGGGGUGAGUGGGUUGCCUUCGCUAUGAAGGAAGAGCAUGGUAGUUUACGAGGCGGGUGGCCUGUCAUACUAAGUAAGUCUCUCAUCUCUACCUUAUCCUGACAUAGGGGCACAUGCGUCCUAAGGUGAAGACCACCAGCCAUUAUCAAAGAAGCAAACAUGCAUGCAUGCACCCCUACGGUGGCCAAGAUGCUUUAGGAUAAUGAUGGCAUGCAACAUGCAUGCAUGACAAGACAGCACAAAAACAACUCCUCCACAGCAAUACAUGCAUGAAACAUAAAGGUGUGGUCCUAAGAACAAGAUGUAUCAUGAAGGGGUGGCAGCCAUGUGCUCCCCCCCUCUUCUCUCUCCACCCACUUGCUCUUUUCACCCAGCGUGGAGCAUGUGGUCCACGAUGAAGACUCAAAGAUAAGGGGAUGCAUGCAUACAUGCAAUAAAGAAAGAGUGGCCAUCAUACUCCGGCAGGUGCACGACAUGUCGACACCUGUCAACUGUGGGGGUCAGGUUUUUUUAUUUUCCUCUAUGCUUCCCAGUGUGGGAUCACUCUUCAAGUAUAAAAGAGAAGACCCAGGGCAGGGAUAGGGGGGCUUCUUCCUCCCUCAGAUUCUAGAGCUCAAGAACAAGCUUUCCCCAUGUAUUCUCGAGUUCACACUCUACGACAAAAAUACACAAACAAGCAAGAUAUAGGGUUAUUAUCCUUCGGGAGGCCUGAACCUAGGUAAAAAUUUCUCCGUGCUCAUCACAGGUGCUGUUCUAGGAAUUCAGAGCGUUCAGCCCCUGGCCGAAUCUAAAAAAGGUUCCCUCGGAACCUUGCUCCGGUGUUUACACGCCGUCACACGCCCUAAGACAAUAUGCUCUCCAAAAGAGCUUUCGUGGAACAAGUUCUGCAGUCUACACUAAACGAGAGCAUGCAUAUCUAUUCAGCUAAACAGACAAGAAUAUCAAGUUUAGUUAGUCAACUAUCAAGGCGUAUAAUCCACUUCUGUCAGGCUAUUUGCCUUACCAAUCUACCACCGUGCCAACUGCAGCCGAUGUUUGCCUCGAUGCCCCAAGGGACAAUGGCAGGGCCACCGCGCACCUUGUGUUUAGCCAAUGCGAUUGGAGCAGGACAAAAUACAAAAGGCAUAUCGUACUCAGCAGCCGCCACCGGCGGGCGCGAGACAAUUAUGUACAUGUCGCCUUUCAUAUAUUCUGUCCACCGCGUGCGCGUAUAGAUUAGUGGGCUGUUUUCAGCCCAAUAAUUAGCGCAUGAAGGAGUAUGUGCCCACUUAAUUAAUCACGUGGUGGUGAAAAGUCUCCCCGAAUGCAUGCAACAAUUAGUGAAAAGAGCAUGCAAAAAAGAUAAAAAGGAUGACCUGACCUGUAUGCAUACAAAUCUAAAAACUAAAAAAAGUCAUAACCCCUAAAUCGAGUGCCCAAAUUAAAUUUAGUUACGCUGUUAUGUUUAUUACGACGAGAUCUUCAAAAUAAGACCCCACUUGACUAUGUUUAGAUAAUAUUUUUUUAAAAAUAUGUUUAACAUAUGGAUUAAUUAGUUCUAACUGACUGAUGCGAACAAAUACUUGGACACCACGGACAAAUUACUAUUUCCUGUGAACAAAAAAAUUAAACAUGACGAACAAUAAAGGUUAUGAUGCGAACAAAAAUAUUGAACAUCACGAACAUUUGAGGAGUGUAGUGGUAGCUCUUGAAUGUCCCACCUAGUAGGUCGCGAGUUCGAAUCUAAUCUCCUGCGCUAUUUUUGUCAAAUUUAACUGUGUAUUGUGCCCGUUAAGGGAAAAGGGACAUUUUUGUCAAAUUUAACUGUGUAUUGUGCCCGUUAAGGGAAAAGGGACAAAUCAGUCUUCUAUACACGUCGAACAAGGAAAAAAACAAAUCAGUCUUCUAUACACGUCGAACAAAUUAUAUGAACCUAUACACAUUGAACAAAUUAUAUGAAUUUACACAGGAAAAAAAGUUGUGCGCAUCAAACAAAUUGUAUGAACUCAUAGAAUAAAAAAUACACAUAAACAAAAUAAUUUAGUAUCCAAAGGAAAAUUAAAGGAUAAAAUAAUAUGAAAUAGAUAUAUUGUAAUCACUAAUGAUAAAUUAAAAAAGGAAAAAAAGAAGAGAAAAAUAAUCAAUAAUAAUAAGUAAACAAAAUGAUAACACAAAAUAGGAAAUUAACUAAUAAAAAGGAAAACGAAAUAAAAGAGACAAAAAAAUAAAAAGGAAUGAGAAAAUAGUUGUAACCGCAAAAUGGUAAAGAAAAGAAAAGAAGAAGAGAGAAGGAAAAAAAAAAGAAAGGAAAAGAAAACACGAAAAAAUAAGAAGGGAUGAAAAUAAAUAAAUAAGUUAGAAGAAAGAAAAAAUAAAAAUAAAAGAAUGGAUAAAGAAAAUAAAACAAAGAGACAAGAAAACGAAAACAAAAACAAAGAAAAUAAAAUAAAGAAAACGAAACCGAAAAAGAAGAAAAGACAAAAAAGAAAACAUAGUAUUAAAAAGGUCUGUAGUUCAACUAAAUCACAAAAGCAUUGAGUAGUGCAAUGGUAGCUCAAUAUUGGUCCUCCAAGCACGUCUCAAGUUUGAACCCCAUCUCAGGCACUAUUUUUUUUGUCGAUUUUAGAUUCAUAUUGGGAGUCGAACUGGGUUGGAACGGGUUCGAUCCUAUGGACCCCCAUUUGGUUGAAAAUACAUAUGGGUUAGAUCAGACCUAGGAGGGAAUAUUCCUCCUAGAUGCGGGUUGAAUGCAUAUACCCAAAACGAGCGGAUGCACUCGACCCACAUCAACGCCAUGACUCUCCGUUCAUGCGUGCAGGUGAGUUGGCAUGGGGAAGGCAGGGAGGGGGCGACGGCCGGCACGUGGAAGAGGUAGGGGCGGCGAGCGGACGGCGUCGGCGGCUUGGAGGAGCGGGCCGGCGCGGGGAGAGAGAAGAGCAGAAUAGGCCGGUGCAAGGAGCGGCCCGGCGCGGCGCACAGGUGGCGCUCAACCGCGGUGCCCCCGACAGCCUGCAGGUGGAGGAGGGCCGCGGCCGGCGACGAGCUUAGCGCUGCGAUGGGGAUCCAGGCAGCAGCGAGGCUGCGGUGGCAAGCCGACGGGCGGAGGUGCGACGCACAACCGACGGUGAGCAGGUUCGGGCGGAGCUGCAGGUGGACGGCGCGGUUGCGUGCAGGGGCACGGCCACAGCCGGCGAGGCCCGAUGGUGGGGCUGUAGGCGGAGGGGCAGCGGCCCAGGGGUCCUCCAUGGUCGGUGGGAAGAGGGGCCGUGGCUCGGGAAUCCGACCAAAUUGGUCCACGAGAGCUCAGUGGUGAUCGGCGGUGGCAUGGUAGGUUGAUUUCUUCUAGUGGAUGGCCGGAGUACUCGAGGGAGUGGCGUCGGAGGAAGACCGGGCGACGCUCAGUCUGCGCACCUGACGGGAAGAUGUGGUACGGGAAGAGGCGAGUGGAGGGAGGAUCAAGAAGAUAAGGUGAGGUAAAAAAAAUAGAGGAUGGAAGAUGGGCCCCGCAGCUGAUAGGUGGGAUCGUUGCUAACGGUGUUAAAAUGGCAUCCAUCACAUCCGUCUCAACUCCUUCAAUCUACGAACAUAUCUUUCUCAUCCAAACACGAGAUAGGUGGAACCUCACCCAAAAAAAUAUGAUGAACCCAACUCGAUCCACUCCAUCCCCGCUGCCACGGGCACCGCCGUCCGAUGAUGAUUAUGCUCGUAUGGCCCAUUGCCGUGUUUUCUAGGGGCCUUGUCCACGUAGCUUGGUGGUUUUGGGGCCUUAACAGCUGUGACGUCUCGCGUAAUGGGCCUAGCGCGUGGCCGGAGCUCUUCUUCGGGCCUCCUUUGUGAUUAUGUGCACGAGUGCAAGGAGUGAGUUACCAGCAACUGUCCAGUAUACCACAGGUUCUGCGCUACGAUCAAACCAAUUUAUAUUACACCGUUGCGAUCAGGGUACAGUACACUUUUUACAAUACACAGCGCCACGAAAAUGAAGGAGAACCAACAAAAUUUUGUAGCUUUCUCCGUCAGUACUCCAGUAACACUACACUUCGCUAGCAGCACUCUUUACCAGCCAACAGUUCCACAGUUCCAUAUGGCAGUGCCAAGCAAUCGAAUCGAUCCAUCCAUCUUGUCCAAAGAAUCAAGACUAUGAAUCCCCUUCCCUUAUUAUUCACACAAAAAUUGACAGGGCGCAACCCCAGAACGCUAAUGGCGCGGUCCCGUUCCAUCGAGCCUCUCCACAGAAGCAUCGAGGCUAGCUCACCCUCUGCGCCACGGCCGACCUGCUCGCCCUCUUGCUCUCGUGGAUCUUGGCGUAAACCCGCUUCGUCCUGACGGAGAGCAGGACGUCGAUGCCGAACCCGACGGCGCAGGCGACGGCCAUGAUCAGGAACACGAGGCGGUAGCAGUGCGCGCCGACGCAUGUGUUGCCGCCGCCCGGCACCGGGGUGGCCUCCGCGUCGUAGAGGAGGCCCGCCAGCAUGCCCGAGAAGAGGAAGGAGCCCAGGGGCAGGUUGAGGAUGAGGAUGUUGUAGAUGAGGCCGUAGUACUUGAGCCCGAACAGCUCGGACGCCGUCGGCACCGUGACCGCCAGCCGCACGCCGUAGCAGGCGCCGACGACCACCGAGCCGAUGAAGAGGGAGCCCGGGAUGGCCAGCGCCAUCACGAUGUAGCCCACGGCCAUCAGGACCUGCGAGGCUGCGUUCCACAGCGGGCGUGGGAUCGCCCGUGUCCUGAACAAUUCGAAAUCGAGCAUUCGGGUGGUCAGAAACUCAGAAUCAAACGAGCAACAAAGAUUAAGAUUGACAGUUGCAAACAUGCGUCGACUGUCUCAUUCAAAGAAGUCCAGAGAAUCAAAAAGAAAUCGACAGUCCCGUAGCAGUGUCAAGUUGUAAAAACUUCUAAAAGGCGAAUCCGAUGCUCUCGUUUUCCCGUAACCAUGACAGUGGCGCACCGUAAAACAAAACAGAAGUGAUGGCGCACUCUCUCUCUGAAACAUCACCUUAUACUGAAUCUAACAAGCAGACUGACUACCAUUGCCAAGCAGUAUCCAAGAGGAAAAGGGCACAAUCGACACAUGAAAAAUUGAAAAGGGCAUGCACUUAAACUAAUGCAGCAGUCAGUUGCUUUAUUCACUUGCCACCGCCUACAGCCAUCAGUUGUUUUACUCAUCCUUGUUUUUACCGUGAUGCACCGAACCAUACAAUUUAUAUUCCCAAUUGGCUUUUGAUGCAGAAUAUAAUACUACGCGCACUGCAUUAUGACCGCCCAAAUGGCUAAAUAAUGUAAAUAAAUUACACCAACUUGGACGUAAACAAAGCACCAAACGCAUAUAUACUCCUUAAAUUCUUAAUCAAAUUGCCUAAAUUCUUUCUUGUUCUCCUCUCGGUCAUAGAAUGUACUCCAGUAUCGGCAGGGCUACUGUAGUACCAGAAGUAGCAAACUGACCAUGUUGAUUUUUUUAAUAAAGCGAGUCAUGACGUUGACCUGCCAUUGUGGGGCCCGUGAUCCACGACCGACCCCGUAUUGGCACUACUGUAUUAUUUUUUUUCGAAAAACAAUAUUGGCACUACUGUAUUGGCACGGCUAAAUUCUUGUCUCCGAGUCGGACAAUGUCCUCCAGUAUUGGCACGGCUACAGUGAAAUAGUGAAUGCUAGGAGCAAACUGACCAUAUUGACUGUUCUAGGGCGACUCACGACACUGACCUUUCAUGGGGGAACCAAGAUCCACGACCAACUCCGAUACUACGGACACCGGAGCGACGACGAACAGAACUGAGGCGUGGGGAAUUUCAAUUUCCAUUUCAGUUCUAUGAUCGCGAUCUUAUCUCAUUUCGGCAAAGAGGAUUUUGAGUUCAAUGAUUCCUGAUUCCAUGCUAAUUUGGGGUGGUUGGUUCUUUAACGCGGACUAAAAUGUUAAUUAGGAGAACUAAACAUAAGUUAAUUAUAAAACUAAUUACACAGAUGGAGGUUAAUUCACGAUAUGAAUCUAUUAAGCCUAAUUAAUCCAUCAUUAGCACAUGUUUACCGUAGCACCAUAUUUGUCAAAUUAUGGACUAUUAAGCUUAAUAGAUUUAAUUGUAAAUUAGUCUCCGUUUGUGUAAUUAGUUUUAUAAUUAGUCUAUAUUUAAUACUUCUAAUUAAUAUCUAAACGUUGAUAGGAAUUUAGGAGGUCUAAACAACCAAACGCCCCCUCGUCGCAUAUGGAGAUGCAUAGGAGGGGAGGAGGGUAACGUACUUGAUGAAGUGCUCGGAGAUGGUUCCGGAUGCGAUGCGGCCGAAGAAUCCCCAGAUGCUGGUCAUGGAGACGAAGAUGGAGACGUCGGCGUAGCCCAUGGCCACGCCCAUCUGCCCCAGGUUGUUCAUCACGGCCAGCCCCGUGCCCACGCCCAUCAGGAACGACGCGAACAUCAGCCAGAAGUCCAGCGACGUCAGCGCCUGCGCGAUGGUGUGCUCCUCCCCGAGCCGCGGCCGCUCGCCGGGCGCCCGCGCCUCCUCCUCCUCGCUCCUCCCCGCCGCCGUCUUCGCCGCGACGAGGAGCGGCGCCGCCGCGGCCGCCAAGGAGUCCGCCUCCUCGAGGUCGGCGUUCGCGGCCUUGCGGGCCUUCACCCACGACUUCCACGCCAGGAGCGCCGGCACGGCGCCGGGGGACGCGAGGAGCACCAGGAGCACGGCCACGAAGACGGCCGAUACGGCCCCGCCGCGGGCGCCGAUGCCGGUGAGGUCGGCGGCGAGGAGGUACAGCGCGAUGGCGACGGCGAGCGAGUUGAUGGCGGCGAAGCAGCGGCCGUCCUCCGCCUCGUCCGCGGUGGCCCCGCCCGCGGCGCCGCCGUUGGGGCCCUCGCGGAGGAAGACCAUGGCGAGCGCGCAGACCGCGGCGGGCACGACGGCGAGCAUGACGAGGAACGACGCGGGGUCGUCGGCGAAGAGCGCGGAGCAGACGUCGGUGAAGAUGGCGGUGCUGAGGCCGACGUACCCCUUGAGCAGGCCGGAGACGGGGCCCCUGCUGCGGCGGAAGUUGCGGAUGCACGUGACGAGCACGGCGGUGUUCAUCCACGUGGUGCUGUUCCCGCCGAGGCAGAGGAAGACGCACAUCUGCCAGUAGGGGAGCGGCGCGACGGCCCCGGACACGACCAUCCACUGCGCGCCGUAGCCGAGGAGGCCCUCGAGGGAGCCGAUGGCGAGGAGGAGCCAGGUCGGGACGCGGUCGGAGGCGAGACCCGCGAGGAGGCCGAACGCCUUGCCGACGUCCUUGGCGACGGAGAGCCCGUUGAGCUGCAGCUGCGUCAGGCCCAUGAGCGUCUUGAGCGCGUGCGAGUAGUUGGAGAAGGUGUAGUUGUUGCCGGAGAUGCACUGCACCCACACCGCCGUCACAAGCCCCAGCCACCGCCCCCACCGCGUCCCCGCCAUUGCGUCCAGCGCCGCCGCCACCAUCUCCGCUCCACCCCUCCCGGCCGCCGCUUCGAAUGCUAGCUUCUUCAAUCCGCCAAUCGCACGGGCGGUGCUUGCUUCAAGGUGGCGCAGGCGCCGCCAGACGCUUAUGGUGGUUUGGGCGCUCUGCUGCUGCUUGGCCGCGUCGUCCCGGGCAGGACGCAGGAGGCGGUAUGGGCUUAUGGGAGGGAGGCGGCAAGCAGCGGCGGUGGAGGCGCGUCGCUUUCCGCGCCUGCUGCUGCGUGCGUGAGGCAGACCCGGUGCCUCUGCGAGUGGGGCGUCGGGUUGCGUACGUCUCGGUGUCGUUGGGGGUUUGGGAGGCCCUGGUCGCUUUUUAUAUAGCCUGACUGUGCCUGAUGAAAGGCUGCUUGGAUUUGGUGGCGGUACUAGUACGGUGAAUGGGGUCAGGCUAAUGGCUUCAUGGAAUAAUUUACUCCGGAUUAGAAAAAGGUGCAUAUGAUUUGAUGUUUUGAUCGUGUUUUCCUAAUUCUCUGCGGAGUCGCGGAGAAGAUGGUUUUGUGAUGACUGUGUGUUGAAGGGGACGAUUUGUUUCCUUUGCUUAAGUGCAUGCUACUGCGCUUGCGAUUUCCUUUGAUAUUUUAUCCUAGUCGGCACGUUAGACCUUUUUAGACCCCUAAUCCUAGGCUGCAGGGAGAAAAUCCAGCGUCUUACGGUGCUACUACUGUAUUAUCAGGUACCAAACGCACAUGUAAAAGUGUAUUAAGGUUUCACUAAACUUAAGAGGAAUAAUACAUAUAAAUUACCCACUAUCCAUAAUUUGGGCUUAAGAAAAAAAGAUAAAUAGUGAUGGGUGAGCCUUAUCACUUUGCACCCGUAACCUGAUUUCUUUUUCCCCUUUCUUUACUUGUUCAAGCUCAUGUUUUGCAUACUACGUGAUAACGGCUCCGCUUGUAUUCGAUUAUUUUUGCGGUGCGGUAGUCUACCGCGCACAAUCGCGUCAAACGGCGUGUGGUGCUGCCUGCCACGCUUCGACCCCUCUGAGGGAUUUGCACCGCGCGCCGCGAAAACGCGACUGCGGCUGAAUCGUCGCGGUGCAGCACUGUGCGGCCUCGAUACGCAUGACCCGCGGCCACGGAAACAAACAUGGCCAACAUGCAAUGUCUAUGAUUUUAGUGAAUGUUUUUAUGUAUUUUUAGAGAUGCAACUGUGAGCUUGUGGCACGGUAACAUUCUAGCUCGUGGUAAGACCAGUUGUUACUGAGCUUGCUUGGUGUUACAGGCUCGUGUUUCAUUAUAAUGAUCUUGUUAAGUUAGUAAAAUUACCGAUGUGAUAUAGAUUUUAAUGUUCAUGAAACUCCAUUAAACAGUCUAACAUUAACACCAACUACGCUCCUCGACAUGGGAAGGGGAAUGUGAUUAUGUGAGGAGACAAAAGUGCAGUGCAACCUCGUUCCGUUGGUCAACACGCGUUGCGUUGGUUCCUUGGUUUCGCACCGGCAGGUACCCUCGCUUCAACUGCCAGGAACUUCUCCUACUUCCUCUUGCUUGCACUCCGUUCCAACAAUCCAACCCUUGCGGGAAGCGAAGCGUGCUGUCUCCCUAGAUCUGAGCCCAGCCGAUCUCCGAUCCUCCUCACCUACGCGUCCUCAUAAAUGGAUGAAUCUUCGGAACAAAGUUUCGUCGCAAGCAAUCCUCGCAAAGCAAUGCAAGUAUCCACACGCAAAAACGGCUGCCUAUCAUAUGGCUGUUUCGGCAGCAAUAUACACUUUUCUGAAUAAACGUAACCGCGCAUCGCAGCAUGAAAAUGGUUGCUUUCUUCUCCAGCGCGCGGGAACCCGUAAGCAUCUGAAAAAGACAAGUGUGUUUAGGGCGUGGCGACGAAGGUGUUAAAAUCAGACUUUUGUUCUUUAUUUCAUCAUCACUUUUGCUGUCUUUUUUUUAUGUCAGUUUCUGGUUAUUUAGGAAACCAUUGUUCCUUUUGGAGCACGACGUACGUGUCUCUCAACAGCUUCGAUGCUUGAAAAAUGGAAGAUAAAAUUGUAAAACGACCCGUGAGUCAUUUGGAGUUCAUGAUUUUCCCUAUCCAUCGUCUUGUUGCAGAUGCUCACCUUUUCAUCCCUUUUUUUCGAAAAGAACAUGUAAGUAAGCACACUCCGCACAUCCUGCCUAUUUUUGUUGUUUAGAGUUAUGGCAGGCCAAGCUAACUGAGAGUCUGAGAUGAGCUUGUUCAAGAGUUUUGAUUAUAUUUAUCCGUCAUGUUAUAGUGAAAAUACUUUUUGCAAAUGGCGAAACUUGAUGCGAUACAGUUUACCUUUUUGCCAAUACUUUUUGUCAAAGUUGUAAGGAUUAUACUCAUGAAAGGAUGAAGUAUCAGGAUUAUACUCUACAAGUAUGCAUGUUACUUCGAUAAAAGAUUAUAUGAGCUGGUUCAUAGUCAUAAAAGGACUGGAUCAGUCACUACCCUCCCACCGUGGAAAAGGCACGGAGCGCAACGUGAUCUGGGUUCUGGUUGGGACUUCGAAAUCUGCUGCACAUCAGCACAUGCGCCCGGCUUGCUGCCCACUAUGUCCGCCGGUUUUCUUUUAUCCUAGCAGCUGAUCGAUGAUCCGGAGCGAGCGAGAGAGGGGCACGGGGCAUCACGCAUGCCUCCCCAGGUUUCGGUUCCCGCGUGUGCUGGGCGCCUGCGCUGUGCUGUGCUGCGUGCUGCCCGCAUGGGCCCGGUCGCGGCCGGUUUGGCCGCCGAGGAAGCCAACUUCGCUAGCGCUACCACCGCUGUCUCCUUCGGCUCCGGUGUGGACCGAGCACGCCAGCUUGUUCAAAUCCCAUCCAUGUCUCGGCGAGCGGACGGCGCGACUUGACACGCUGGUGCUGACCGUGAUCUUUUUUCUGCGGCUGCCCGCGCCCCGGUUUUCGGAAUUGCGUGCCGGCCCAUCGACCGGCGGCCGCCGGCGGCGGCCCGCGGCUACACCUUCCCUGGUUCUCAAGAAACAGAUUUCAGGCCGGUCAGAAACACUCCGUAGCCUAUGCCCAAUGGUGGCGUCUGGGCUUGACGCGGAGGUAGAUCUGGGAGUGGAUCGUGAAGGAUCUUUUUGCUAGCAGUAGCUCACAUCAAAAAGAGGUACCGUCGGGGGCUGCCUGUCGUGGUCCGUGGUGACAGUGACUGCUGUGCCGUCUUGUAGGUCGCAGUUGCGGCGUCAAUUCAAGACGUAAAGCCGCGCAGUUGUUCUUUUUUCUGAAAGAAAAUCCGAGCGGAAGUCACAGCCCGCAAUGAGCGUUAUCUUGAACACACACAUGGUCAAUAUCAGGGCCUUGUUUAGUUGGCCAAUUUGGGAGGUGCCAAAUUACUGUUACAGCACUGUAGCACACUGUAGCGUUUCGUUUGUAUUUGUGAAUUAUUGUCCAAAUAUUGACUAAUUAGGCUCAAAAGAUUCGUCUCGUAAAGUACAACAAAACUGUGCAAUUACUUUUUAAUUUCAUCUACAUUUAGUACUCCAUGCAUGUACCGCAAGUUUGAUGUGAUGGGGAAUCUUCUUUUUGCAUAGUGUCAAAGUUGGAAGUUGGGAGUAACUAAACAUGGCCCAGGUUUCCGCGAGGGCUGCUGUGAAAGGAGACUGGAGACACUCAGACACUGGUAGUGACAGGGACGGCCCGGAAGAAGCCGGCGAGCAUGUCUGGCAAGGACGGAGGACGUGCCUCAGGAGAUACGCCAAAAGAUCACGUCGGCCGUACACGACAGCGACGGUACUGGUUCGAUACAUGCACUAGAGUCGCAUCCAAUGUUAAAUACCAAUUAGAAAGUACUAAACAAAUAUAUUAAAUCUAAUUAAUUUAUGAUUAACACAUAAUUAUUAUAAUAUUAUGUAGUCAAAUCAUGCACUAAUUAGACUUAAUAGAUUCAUCUUAUGAAUUAACCUUCAUUUAUGUAAUUAAUUUUAUAAUUAAUCUAUAUUUAAUAAUCUAAUUAGUACGUACCCGUUCGAUGCGACACCAAGCAGUCCCUCGAUCACACCCGCCGUCUCGCUUCGCGGUAAAAGCGUCUCCCGAUAUUUUUUCUCCCGGUACGGCCGGCCUUUCGGUGUUCGAACGGCCGGGGGGUCUUAAAUUCCUAACGGGAUGCGUAGCCGCAGCGAUUAGAAACGGUAAAAUCGUCGUUUUGUAAUUUCGUCAUGUAAGUUAGGCACAAGCAUUAUUAUUUUACGAUUCAUCGCUGGACCUCAUCAUCUCGAAACGUAAACAGCUUGCGAAUCGAUGGCCAUCUGAGAACGUAAACAAAUAGUGAACGGAUGGCCACCCACCGGGCUUUGGGACUUGUGAGAUUCUUGUGUACUCGCCGUCGACCGUCACGACGAGGUCUUGGCGGCCAUCGCAGCCAAAACGGGGGCACAUGAAAGCGCCCGUGCCCAAGGGAAGCUGCGUACGGCGUUUUGAUCCGAAAAAACAGAGUGCUCGGGCUCGGCCGCGUUAGACCUUGACGGCAGGAACGAUGGCAAUUGGCAACUGAGCAGAUGCCGAUACGUACGGUGCACAUGGUCGAGGUGUGGUGUGCGGUCAGCUAUCGGCACCGGCUUCCUGCUCAGCUGUAGCGGUAGCUACUAGCUAGGCUUGCACGCUCCUUAUCAGAUCCUCUGACAUGUGAUGCGUCGAUAAGCCGCCUUCAUUUUCGCCGUGCUCAGCCAGAGUACGUGUUUUCGGCGGCGAGGACAAUCCCGACACGGCUCUGCAGCCUGGAGUUAACCGUCGUGACCUCAAUCGACGCGCCGACCCGGUUUUCUUCCCGGUGGGAAAAUGGCGUUCUCCUUGCACUGACAGGCACGCUGCUGCCGUUGCCGAGUGCUAGUCUCUGGCCGAAGCCGUGUUGUCUCUGGCCGUGAGUGAAGUCGCUCACGAGACCGAAAACCGCAGGACGGUGUGGUUGGUUGGGCAUUGUUUAGUUCCCAAUUUGGAAGUGGUAAAAUUGAUAUUUUACCAUAAAUGCGCAACUGUAGUGUUUCGUUUGUAUUUGUGAAUUAUUGUCCAAAUAUUGACUAAUUAGGCUCAAAAGAUUCAUCUCGCAAAGUACAACAAAACUGUGCAAUUAGUUUUUGAUUUCGUCUACAUUUAGUGCUUCAUGCAGGUACCGCAAGUUUGAUGUGAUGGGGAAUCUUCUUUUUGCAUAGUAUCAAAGUUGGGAGUUGGGAGGGAACUAUAUGGUCACAUCGAAUGUUUAGAUACUAAUUAGGGGUAUUAAACGUAAACUAUUUACAAAACCCAUUAUAUAAGUGGAGGCUAAACGGCGAGACGAAUCUAUUAAGCCUAAUUAAUCCAUCAUUAGCAAAUAUUUACUGUAGCAACACAUUGUCAAAUCAUGGACUAAUUAAGCUUAAUAGAUUCGUCUCGUCGUUUAACCUCCACUUAUGUAAUCGGUUUUGUAAAUAGUGUACGUUUAAUACUCCUAAUUAGUAUCUAAACAUUCGAUGUGACGGGUGCUUAAAUUUGUCAGUGAACCAAACCAGGCGGUCUGGUAGCCGCGCAACCUGCAAUCCUGCAGCCUGCUAGGUACAGUAGGCCUCACCGUCUGGUCGGCGCCGAAAAACUGCAUGAGAUGAGCGUCAGGAAGUGGUCCGUCGGGACAGGUCCAAUAGGUCUCCGCUCUGCUUACGCGUCGGUCUGAUCCGUUCAAACCGAGCGUGGUGUCCAGCUGGCCGGUGCUUCAGGUAAUAGCACCAUUGCCACAAAUUUGAAUUUCUGCACAUUUUCAUAGGUCAGAACCAUGCGCCGUGGGCCGUGGCUGCUGGAACCACAGAAUUCUCCGCUGUAUGUUUGCUAUGGAGCCAGGCGGACAAGCUGGACCAUGCUCCAGCGAUGGAUUUUCUUGGACAAACGUGUUCCUCAAGGUGCUCAAAAUCAUUUUGAGCUUUACUGUAUGUGCCAUCUCUGUCCGAUCCCUGAUUUUCCAGCAGAUCAUCGAGUUUGGACGUAGUAGCUGUAUGCUUGCUGCAUUUGGCAGCAUGCAGGUCGUUGUUGUUGGAAAUACGUGGCUAAAGUACAGUUCGGAUUUUAUUUGAAAGAAAAACAUAUAGAUAAAAAAAAAUGAUGCAAGCAUAUAAAGGAGUCACAAGUCACGCGAUUUUUCACGUAAAAAUACACGUGGGCUACGCGUACGUUUAGCAACAGUCUCGUUCUCUCUCAUAUGCAUCUAUUUGCAUAGAGAGGAGACUCCCAUAUUUAAGUAAGACAAUCUAUCCUUCAAUUAGCAAUAUAGGAGCAAAGGUUGUGCAUGCUUUGGAAUUUUCAGAGCCUAAAUCCAACAGUUGUCUCGUGGGGCAGAUGAAUGCUAUGAGCAUUUUGUAUCGCAUCGUGGACGACACAGGUUAAUGUAUCCAUCAAACAACCACCAAUUGGUUGAGCCUUACGUCGCCAAAGAAAAGAAAUGAGAGCUUUGCUGCUGCUACCCCGAACCUGGAGAUUACACGAGGCCUAGACACGAGAUACGAAUCAGAUUUGGGCUCUCUUCCUGCAUGAUCUCUCUUUACAGUAUACGUUGGGCCUAGAUAAAGUAUUGGGGGCCCAAGAAUUUCCGACGCAGCAGUCCACCCACCAAAAAAGAAAUGGCAUGCGAGGCCCGCUAGUCUGGAAAAAGAAAAGAAAUUAAAGAAAGAGAAUGAAGCCGAGGCCCGUUCUACCGGACUAGCGGAGCGAAGCCAGCCGGUGGGGCUUCUGGAAAUCUGGUUCGGCGCCGAUCUUGCUCGUCUCCGCCGUGGAACCCCCAAAUCCCGAGCAACCUCUUCCGGAUUCGCCAGGAGCUCGCGACGAUUCUGAUGAGGUAGAAGCCUGCGCCACCUGGGCCUCGCGAUGCUGCGGAAGGUGGUCGUCGCCUUCCUCGCCUGCGCCGCAAUUUAUUUCUCCUUCUCCGCCUACUUCCGUCGUCAGGUGUGGCUUUCCGCUCUUAUUCUUGUCCGUCUGGUCGGGUUGAGCCGUUAAUUAGUCUAACUCUUGUGCGAACGUUCUUGGAUUUUGAAGUCGGUUCGGGUUAAUUAUUGUUUUUAGUGGAAUCGUGGCAGUGGGGUUGAGUUUUAGUGGAUCUCUGUGUCAGGGUCGAUUUGUCCCGUAGGGAUUCGAGUUUUAGCCGCUCAUAGUAGCAUUUUGCAGUUUGGUUUCCGCAAUUAGUAUUCUCGUUGCCUUGUUAGUGUUCUUGUGCUGGCUGGACCAUGUUUCUGAGUAGAGUUAUGCAGCUCACUUCCGCCAUCAAAUGUUUGUAGUGAAGAAGUAAAGAAAUAUGUGUAGUGCUGGUGCCCCCAUGCUCUAUUUUGCUGAUGUCAUUAGCAUAAUCGCUGAAUCUUGUGAAACUACAGUUUUACUAGUGACUGCAUACACACGGUGCAGGUUCCAGCGUCGCAACUUGGAACUAUCAUGUAUAUUGAUCCACCAUUUUAUUAAUAUUUUGGUACCUAGUUAGUGGAGCUCAUGUUCAUGUUUUGUCAGAUUUUUGAAUGAUGCUUAACAUCUGUAUUGUUUUUGCCACAAGAUUAGGGAGCUGCAUUGUGGGUACUCAAUGAUAGUGCUGUGAUGAUUUUUAGGGAUUGCACAUGACUUAUCCCUUCUCUUUUUCCCUGUUGCACAGAGCAUUGCAGAGGUUCAGUUACCAGCAGUUACUCAUAGGGUCUACCUAGAUGUAGAAAUUGAUGGCCAACACAUAGGUAUAUCUCAAUUGAUUCAUCCUUCUUUGGGUGUUUCAAUGGAAACUUUUGGUCACUAAUAAUCUGGUUACUUGCGUUGCUGCUUCAUGUGUCACUCAGCUUAACUUAAAUUACCUAAUGCCCGAUUUGCCUUGCAGGCAGAAUUGUUAUUGGUCUUUACGGGGAGGUUGUUCCGAAAACAGUUGGUAUUCUUAUGCUCUUUCUCCUUUUCCAUCAUGCUCAUUUAUUGAUCUUGAUUUUUAAAGAUAUGUGUGAUUAGUUGCACGGUUGAGGGUCCUUGCACGUCAGUUGUGGACUUCUGACAGAGCAUAGUCACAUAUUUCCAAGUUGCCCUUUAUGUUGGUUAUCAUGCUACGUGUUCCAAAAGUUGGGAUCAUAUAUAAGAGAGCUGCUGUGAAUAGUUUUUAAGUACGAUCCAGUAGCUAACACACUUUCAGUUUUCAUCGUUUCAUUUUGAUCUAUGUUUUUUUUAUUGAAUUUCUUUUUUGUGCUAAGAAUGACCUCACUGUUUCACACUUCCAAUUAUCCUGCCAAAGUGAACUUCUUAGUAAUGUAUCCGAAGAAAAAUAUUCUUCAUGAGUUAUCGUUUGGCAACUAAUUUUCUUUAUUCUACAUUCUGCAGAAAACUUUAGGGCCCUUUGCACAGGUACUCUCUUUCCAUGACUUUUUUUUGUUGCCAUCAAAGUCCCACCUGAGCUGAUUUUUCAUAUCCAUUUAUUCAUCAUUUCAGGUGAAAAAGGUGUUGGGUCCAAUGGCAAACCUCUUCAUUAUAAAGGAACCCCAUUCCAUCGCAUCAUCCCUGGUUUCAUGAUUCAAGGUGGUGACAUAGUUAGAGGUGAUGGGAAAGGAAGUGAGUCGAUAUAUGGAGGCAUCUUCCCAGAUGAGAAUUUCACUGUAAAACAUACUCAUCCAGGUCAGGUUGUUUGGCUAGUAUUUGCAUUGUCCAGUUUGCGUGAAGCUUUUAUUUAUGAGUAUCCACUAAGUUUCUGUUUUAUUUUCAAGGAAAACUACCAUUAUUUUCUUCAGUGUUGAUCACACCAUAUUAAAGAAUCAGCAACUUCGAAGAAUAAGGAAGUCAAUGACAUUUUAGAUUUACAGCAGGGACUAAAAGAGUGGUUUGAUUCACUAUGUAGUUACAAUGUAGCUCAAAAAGACUGUAUAGCUGCAUCUUCUGAGUUAUUUGUCAGCACCAAAUGCUACCAUUCCAGUGUUUUUCCUGUUGUUUUACUUCUGUUAUUAUAUUUCUUUCAUCCUUAUCCGUAGGGGCUCUUACAUAGGUGCCACUCACUAAUCACUAGACACUAAAUUUGGCUAAAGCUUGAGUAUUUGUUUGAGCUUCUGACAAGCAUCUGUCUGAGAAGUCUUCAGAAUAUCCCUGCCUCAUGGUGUUGCAGGCGUUGUUGCUAUGGCGAAUUCUGGACUUGACUCCAAUGGAUCCCAGUUUUACAUUACUACAAUCAAGACAAGCUGGUAAGUUCUCUGUUGCACCACAUCUCGCAAUUAACCUAGAAGCUACAACUCCUGAAACGGUAAUUUUGUAGGUUGGAUGGGGAGCAUGUUGUCUUCGGCAGGGUGAUCCAGGGAAUGGAUACCGUGUACGCCAUUGAAGGGGGUGCUGGCACUUACAACGGCAAGCCGAGGAAGAAGGUUGUAAUCACUGACUCUGGUGAGAUACCCAAGGAGAAAUGGGGUGAUCAGGAAGCGUAGAUUCCCUGCUUGCCCUGUUCCAUGUACUGCGCAACGGCAAGCUUCUUUUUGACCUGCUUUGUGCUACAGUCCACUCGUGGCGUCAAAAAUGGUGUAUAUUGUAGGCAGUUUAUAGCCACUCCCAUUGACGCUGAUCGGUUAGUUUGUGAUGCUGCAGGGUGAGAACACACACGUCUUUCAAAAAAGGUUUUAGCCUGCUCUAACUGCUACCUUGAUGGGGUUUUCUGCUGUUACACAGGAAUUACGUUUCUGGUGACUUGAGUUUUUUUUUUGAGUGAAUUCCUUCAUUGCCGCUGAAAUUUAUAUGGAUCCCUUAAUGACAUUGAAAUUUUCUACUUCCCUUGCCACUAUUUUAAAUUCGCAUUCCCUUGGUUGCCAUUUCCGUUAGAAUCUGUUAGCUUGCCGUUAGGCUGGUAGUCACUGUCGUUGUCGGCCAUGUGCCUCGCCCUAGGCGCCGUGAUCCGGCCAUCCGGGAGCUAAUGACCAUGGGGCAACAGUCCGCGUCGACACACCAGGAGCUCGCCGUUCUCCCAGUUGCCGCUGCGUCCUCCACCCGCCGGUGCGCGCUCGAUCCCAGCUACCACGCCCCGCCCGUUGUCUCUACCUCACACGGCCCCAGCCCCGCUGGCUCUGCCUGCCGCGCAUCCGUCUCCGCCCAUAUCCUUGGACUAUGGACUGCUGUGUCCCCCUGCUUGUCCUCAGUUUUGACUGCGCCAUUCUUCUGCUUUGCUCAAGGCUUCAAUUCUGGCAAGCAUCACGGAGGGGAGAACUCUUAUCCUACAGCAAGCACUCGAUUUUCCCACCCGUUUCUCCGCGAGCACCUCGGACUCCAGCACGGCGUCUUGCUGACAAUCCGGACACUAAGGAGUUUAAUUGAGGCAAGACACACUCGAUCCGGGAGGGGAUAGUGCCAAUUUUGGAUAGAUGACCCCAAUUCGAAUUGAUUUGACAGGUUACGGCAUUGAUUUGUUGGGGACCCGGCGCUGGUCUCGCCAGCAGUGGUGGAGCGGUUCGCCGGCCUCUGGUCGAUGCUCGCGGACAUGAUGCUCGCAUGGAGUAUACUGCGCCCGUACCUCCGGCGCCAGGUGCUCCUAGACCGCCUCGACGGCAGCUUCCCCUACGCCGCCACGCGCGUCGUCUCGCGGAGCACCUGGACCGCUACCUCACAGUCGCCGAGUAUGACGCCGGCGAGGGGAUGAGGCGCGGGGACGCAUACGAGCAGGCCCAAGCGUAUCUCGCCCACAGGUGGCCGGUGCGUGGGCCGAGCGCGCGCGACAGCGGGCCCUCUGUCGCUUUGUGCUCAGCCUGGGCAGCGGCUCGCCUGAGGCUGCCCCAGCUGAUACGUCACCGACUCACCGGCUGGGAAGGAUAACGGAGGGGCGGUUGCGGGGUCCAACUGUCAGCGAGUUAAGCCAACAGCAUUUAACAGAAAUGGCAACCAAGGAAAUGCAAAUCUAAAAUAGUGGCAACGAAGAAAAGUAGAAAAUUUCAAUGGCGUUGAGGGAUCCAUAUAAAUUUCAGUGGCAAUGAGAAAAUUCACUCUCUUUUUUUUACCCAGUUUAUUAAGGCAUCAUGCCACGCACCGAUGCACAGGCGUUUGUAUGUUAUAUUGACAUCAACGAAAGAAAUCAUAGCUCAGGGUUGUACGCCUCGGCGGUUGCCGGCCGGCAGGCCGCUCCGGCGCGGCGGCGCUCCUCCACCCUCAGCACGCAUGGUACUUUUCUCUUCCUUCCGGGCUUUCCGACGAGUCUGGCUGGACGCUGGACGGACGACUGCGCCUCGCCAUCCACACCGUGAGAGCAGGAUUGCAGGCAGAGAGGGAGGAGCUCCGGAAGGCACUAGGAUCGGUUGGGCUAUUUAGCUAUUGGCCUUACAAGUUUCAGUGCCACGGCCCAACUGCUACUUCACUUACUAGGUCUACUUCCUGCCUGCCUCGACCUGGCCGGCUGGCCCAACAGCAGCACACAGUCAUUUUCUACCUCCGAGCUCAACAGCCAUUCUUCAUGCAUGCAUGGUGCCACAAGGUGGCUAAAAAUUGGAGAGGGGGCCUGAUUUUCCUUGUCCGGCAGCCUGUAGGAGGGGCUCGAGCCCCCUAGCCCCUGUUGGAUCCGUUCACCAACUCCUACCACUCGUCUUUCAAUUUCUUUUUAACAUUUUGAAUGUGCUAAUUUAAUAUUUUAUUGGAAAUCAGGUGUAUUUUCAUAUUUUUUACAACUGAUUUAACAAUUACUUGGAUCGGACACGGAGGAGAAGAGAGAGAAGGGAGAAAAGGAAGAAGGGAGAAGAGAGCCCACCUCACAUGUUGGGCACACUGUCACGUCAUGCGAAAUAAAACCUCUUAAAGAUUCACUCUGCAUAGUAUUGGAUAGUUUAGGGUGCAGGAUAUAUGGUUUUGUAGUUGGAGGGGAAAAAGUCGGAAAGUGUGAAAAAAAUAGUUAAUGUGUGUGUUAAUUAGACUUUUUCUAAAAUAAUAACGCGACUCCGGCAUAAUAUAGUCAAAAAGGUGGUGCUUGGUUUGUUGCCACAAGCAGCCACGCCAGUGCGGUGCCUCCACCAAAUUUGUACUCUUGCUCAGUUGAUGACGAAUCCGUGGCUGCCAUGGGUUUUCUCCGUUAUUUUUGCCACCGCAAGUAAAGUGCUGUUUUUUGGCGCCCCAUGUUAGGCGUCGCCACAUCUGCUACGUAGUGUGUUGUGGCUGGAAGCCAAACACGCCCUUGUGCUUGGUAACUCGAUUCAGAAUUAGAUUAGACGCAAUCCAAUCACCAACGAGCUAGCAGUACCCUCGGACCUUGGGUACCUUGGAUCAAACACAACACGAUCCAUUGUAGCAUAUAACACUCUUGUAUAGUUACUAUUACACAUGUAGUACGUGCGAUCUGAACGAUUUUACUUAUGUCACAUAUACUCCCUCCGUCCCAAAUUACUAUUUAUUUUGGCUUUUCUAGAUACACACCUUUUCAUAUGCACCUAGAUAUAUAUUUAUGUCUAGGUAUAUACUAAAAAUGAUGUAUUUAGAAAAGUUAAAAUAAAUAAUAAUUUGGAACGAAGGAAGUACAUGAGAUGGAUUAUUUACUAGGGCGACAAAAAAAAAAGGCAGCGGCUUAUUCUCACCGAGAGCAAUAGGCACACGGUGCUCUUCUCCGUCGGCCGAUUUGACGAGAGUACAUUAAUAAACUCCAUCAGAAAGCACGAUACAGUAGUUUAUAUUCCACGACCACCUCCUGCACGCUUGCUUGCAGGCACGAAUGCGCUUGCAAGCAAGCAAGCUGGCGCUUGGAAGUUGGAAUCCACCCGGUCCGCUCAUCAGUUCAGCAUGGUCUCCGUGGGGAGCAGGAUCCUGGAGUCGAAGGCGGCGGCGGUGGAGUUGAGCAUCCAGGUGUAGAAGGGGUGGAAGACGACGGCGUCGGGGCAGCUGAGCGUCGCCGGCAGCUUGGGGCACUCGAUGAAUGACUUGCCGUCCGUGCUCGCGCAGAGGUAAAUCUCGUACAGCUGCUUCUUCCCGAAGGGCCCGUCCUUGCACUGCAGCCCCGGCGCGACGCCGAGCUUCUUGGUGAUGGCCGACUUGAUCUUCGCCGUGGCGUAGAGCUUGUAGUCCGGCUUGAUGCCCUGGUCGGCCAGCGCGGCGAGGAUGCCCGCCUGCGUCCUCAGGCCGAGGGCGGCCUUGAAGUAGUCCAGCUGCGCCAGGCCCGAGCAGACGCCGUAGCUGUUCCACUCGCUCUUCCAGGUGUUCAUGCCGUCGGUGGGCGGGCACUUGAUGUUGCUCCAGUAGUGGUUGAUGCCGUUCUCAAUCUUGUUCAUCUGACCGGUCGACCGAUCGAUCGAUGCAUGGGAUGAGCAUGAUAUCGUGUGAGAUAAAUUAAAGCUAGGUAGGGGUUUGCAAGCAUGGAUAAUUAAGGGCCGGGGGUUUAAUUUAGAGAAUCGAAGAUGUGAGUAGUUAACCUUGCGGUUGUCGAAGGGUGCACCGUUCCUGCACCUGACGAUGGGCUUGUUAAUGGACAGGUCGAAGGUUUGGAAGCUCUUCACGAAGAAAUCCUCCGCCGGGUAGCCGUACUUGGGCACGCAGCAGCCGUUGUCGCUGUCCUCGCAGUAUGCUCCAGGCCACUGCAUGCACAGAAACGAUCCAUCGAUUCAGCUUGGGAAACGGCAAUGGUUUCGUCCCUGGCCUAGCUUCCUGAUAACGCAUGUAUUACUGCUCCAUGCAUGUAUUUUCUACACGUUCAUUUUGGCCUGAAAAUUCAAUUAUUACUUAUUAGUAUAGGACAAACAGUUUCUUUCACGUGUCAUAAUUCAUAAUCGAUCCAUCCGUCAUUCACGUCUCUGGCCCCAUGAGCGCGACAGAAUGGUCCUUGGUUCAUAGCUAGUGGUACUAUGACGUUGGUCGGGCAAAAUUGUGAAGGCCGGUAGCUUUAAAGUUUGCUUAUACUUUGUCACGGAUCAUGAUUAUUAUGUUGAAUUAUACAUGUCCAUGCUUACUGUGUGUUUUUUUCCAUGACGACACACGGUCACUGUGUUAUUCUGAUCUUAUAUAUGCUCAAAAGAUUUGGAACUUCGACUUAUUGAUAGCUGAAAACAAAAGGCACACUGACAAUUUAAUUUUGCUUAGUAAUUCAGCUGUGACAGUAUGUAUGUACAAAAUGUAUGAAAUAUCAGACAUGCAAAAGCGUGGUUAGUGGUGUGUGCGCUUCACCUUGUAAUUGCAAGAAAAAUAUAGUACAACAGAAAAUUAUCUAGCAUUGUAAUAUUGUGAUUGUAGAUAAUUAUUCUGGCAAUAAACAUUAAGGAAGAUAUAUAUAGUUUCAUGCAUAGAGCACUUAUGUCGUGUACAAUCAUCAGAAUUAGCAAUAUUAGUAUAUUGUAAACCAUGUGCAGAAAAUUAAGCGUUUGAAAAAGGUUCAUACCAU